GAGUCGAUCAAUAAUGAAACCACCUUUGGCACAAAUUUUGAUUACUUUCAAGAUGAAAAGGAGAUAAGAGUGUUGCAAGUUAAUUUGCCCAUCAUAUGACAUGGACUUGAGACUAAAAUUGUUUCCUCUAUCUGGUGUAACAAUAAUUUCAUGGAGAAGAUCAUUUUUGUUCUCUUUAAUGUGUUAUUAGUUGCUAAUUAAACCUUUGCCUUGGAUAUCUACUUAAUUGAGGAAAUAAGAUGUCAUAGUUUAUUUCAUAACAAUAUUUCUUAAAUACAUGGUACUUCCAGGAAUACAUGUUUGGUGCGCAAGACACUUCGAUCUUGGAGUUGAGUAUGAAAGUGAAAGUUAACAAUAUUUGGACUGUCGAGGUUCGCACUUCCCAGUGGCUGUUUUAAUAUUGCUUCUAAAAAUUUUGUACAUUUCAUUCUGAUUCUUCUAUGUGCAUAUUUAAUGAAGAGAACUACAAGGGAGUGAAAGUUGCAAGUGCUAAUGAUAGUGCUAAAAUCAUUGAGAAGAUUCACUGUAGCAAAGGCAGAACAGAAAUUGUGACUCUAUGUUUCACCAUGAUGAGGAAAUAGAAACCACGAGUAUCAUUGAUGUUAGAUUGUUUCUUCUAUGUUUCACGAUUGGUGAAGAAAUAGAAACCACGAGUAUUGUUGAUGUUAGAUUGUUCUUUUAUUAAUCUAAAUCUAAAGACUUCAAUUUUCUUCUCCUUUUUUAUUUAUUUAUGGAGAACUUAUAUUUCAUAUUUGGAUGAGACUUUAGUACUUUUUUAUUUGGUGACUUGUUCCUGAAUAUUUUGGCAGCAGCCGUUUUUCUUUCUAAGCAUAUUCAGAAAAUUUACACUUUUAAGUUUGAUCAUUUACUGCCAUAGUUCAUCUACUUGAGUUGGAAAAUGACUAUUCUCUUAGCUUCUCAUAUCAUAGUAUACUUGAUCAAAGAUAACUGCUUCUUAUACAUGUAUGGCUGAGUUUAUCCAAUAAUUUGAAUUUUCUUUGCAUUAUUUCAUCUUUUUUGAAUAAAAAAUUCAAAUAUGCACCAACUUACAUGUUGGGCCCGUGCUGGCACGGGCCAUACCAAUCUAGUAUAUAUAUAACGAAAAGUAUUGGACUAUAAUCAUCUCUAUUUUGUACAAAUUUUUCUACUAUAUUAUAAAAGAGAGUUUAGGGCCAACUAUAAUAUAUUAUAUACUUGGACUUUUCCAUUUGACAUAUAUAUAUAUAUAUNNNNNNNNNNNNNNNNNNNNNNNNNNNNNNNNNNNNNNNNNNNNNNNNNNNNNNNNNNNNNNNNNNNNNNNNNNNNNNNNNNNNNNNNNNNNNNNNNNNNNNNNNNNNNNNNNNNNNNNNNNNNNNNNNNNNNNNNNNNNNNNNNNNNNNNNNNNNNNNNNNNNNNNNNNNNNNNNNNNNNNNNNNNNNNNNNNNNNNNNNNNNNNNNNNNNNNNNNNNNNNNNNNNNNNNNNNNNNNNNNNNNNNNNNNNNNNNNNNNNNNNNNNNNNNNNNNNNNNNNNNNNNNNNNNNNNNNNNNNNNNNNNNNNNNNNNNNNNNNNNNNNNNNNNNNNNNNNNNNNNNNNNNNNNNNNNNNNNNNNNNNNNNNNNNNNNNNNNNNNNNNNNNNNNNNNNNNNNNNNNNNNNNNNNNNNNNNNNNNNNNNNNNNNNNNNNNNNNNNNNNNNNNNNNNNNNNNNNNNNNNNNNNNNNNNNNNNNNNNNNNNNNNNNNNNNNNNNNNNNNNNNNNNNNNNNNNNNNNNNNNNNNNNNNNNNNNNNNNNNNNNNNNNNNNNNNNNNNNNNNNNNNNNNNNNNNNNNNNNNNNNNNNNNNNNNNNNNNNNNNNNNNNNNNNNNNNNNNNNNNNNNNNNNNNNNNNNNNNNNNNNNNNNNNNNNNNNNNNNNNNNNNNNNNNNNNNNNNNNNNNNNNNNNNNNNNNNNNNNNNNNNNNNNNNNNNNNNNNNNNNNNNNNNNNNNNNNNNNNNNNNNNNNNNNNNNNNNNNNNNNNNNNNNNNNNNNNNNNNNNNNNNNNNNNNNNNNNNNNNNNNNNNNNNNNNNNNNNNNNNNNNNNNNNNNNNNNNNNNNNNNNNNNNNNNNNNNNNNNNNNNNNNNNNNNNNNNNNNNNNNNNNNNNNNNNNNNNNNNNNNNNNNNNNNNNNNNNNNNNNNNNNNNNNNNNNNNNNNNNNNNNNNNNNNNNNNNNNNNNNNNNNNNNNNNNNNNNNNNNNNNNNNNNNNNNNNNNNNNNNNNNNNNNNNNNNNNNNNNNNNNNNNNNNNNNNNNNNNNNNNNNNNNNNNNNNNNNNNNNNNNNNNNNNNNNNNNNNNNNNNNNNNNNNNNNNNNNNNNNNNNNNNNNNNNNNNNNNNNNNNNNNNNNNNNNNNNNNNNNNNNNNNNNNNNNNNNNNNNNNNNNNNNNNNNNNNNNNNNNNNNNNNNNNNNNNNNNNNNNNNNNNNNNNNNNNNNNNNNNNNNNNNNNNNNNNNNNNNNNNNNNNNNNNNNNNNNNNNNNNNNNNNNNNNNNNNNNNNNNNNNNNNNNNNNNNNNNNNNNNNNNNNNNNNNNNNNNNNNNNNNNNNNNNNNNNNNNNNNNNNNNNNNNNNNNNNNNNNNNNNNNNNNNNNNNNNNNNNNNNNNNNNNNNNNCGUAAAAAUACUAUAAAUCAUGAUAAUUGACAACAUAAAAUAUUUAAAAAAUGUUGUAUGUGGUAGUCUUAUUAUGCCUUAAAUAGCGUUAAAGAAAGUACAACUUUGUAAUAAAAAAACUUAUUCCUUUAUCCACGCAAACAAUCGCUUCAAAAACUCCGUUAGUAGCCCCAAAACAUACCAUUUAUAUUAUUGGGCCCGUGCAUAGCACGGGCAACAUUAUCUAGUAACUUAAGAUAAAAUCCACAUGUAGUAAGUCGUCCAUAGAGUAAGUGCAACUGAUGCCAGAGCAUAAUUCCAUAGCAUAAUCACUGAACAUUCACUUUCACCAACUUCAAACAACUGUGUAAUUGUACCUGCCCAUUUGCCAACCAAAAAUAUUAAAGGAAAAGAAUGAGAGCAAAAUUGCUUUUGAAAUUAGAAAAGUAAUUACAUAGAUUAUCUUGUAUGUAAUAUAUACCUAUGGUCAUGGCAGAGGGAAGUGCAUAUUGCAAGAGAAGUACAAACUGAUAUAAUGAAUCUGAUCCAACCAACCCAUAAUGACGUGCAACUUUGACAACACAAAUUCCUGAUAGUGGCAAUGCUACAUAACGUAUUACUUGAAUGCCUAUCACAAUCCACACACCUACUUCUGACUUUUUCAGCCCUGCACUUAUAAUUUUUAAUUACAUUAUCGAUCGGUAACUGAUCUGAUCUGAUCUGCUAAGGUAAGUGACCUGCUACGAAACCAAACCUUUAAGAAGAUUUGCUCCAACUAUCAAUGUCAUUGCUGGUAUUGCAGCUUCUCUGUAGCAGCACAAAACACAGUGUAAUACGUUGAGUUAAUUAAUUGUCAUAUACUAUAGUAUUAGUACAAAUUAAAAUAUCCAAAAUUGAGCUUUAAUUUGUUAUACCCAAGCAUAGAUGCAGAGCUAUCGAUGACAUGCAAUGGAGCCUCAUUUCCAAUGAUUAACUUUCUUAGCAAAGAUGAUACGCCAAUUAAGAUCCCAACAAUCUGUAAAAAUUACAUAAUUUGCAGAUUAUAUAUAUUCUCAGUUGAAAAAAUUAGUACAUGAUUAAACCAUGUGGUCGUACCGUAGCAAUUGUUGAGGGUGCAAAUAACAUUUUGAACUUGAUUCUUUGUGUCCAUGUUUUGAUAUGUUGUUUCAUCUUUUUCACAACAUGUCCCUGUACAAUAAUAUUAUUAUUAUUAAAUUGAAAUAUUAGCUGGCACCAUUAACGAAAAUAUAUCAUCGCAUGGCCAUGACCAUUAAUUUUGGUACUUUAGGGCUUGAGCAUAGCCAGCUUCUUAUUUGUUGAUGCCUCACUAUUGUAAGGUAUAAUAAAUAGUUUGUUUCCUCCCAUUGUAAGGGGAUUCUAAUUCUAGCAAUAUACUAUCUAGCUACUUCUUGAACUCCAAGUUUACAUUAUUCACUAAUAAUAAUUAAGUAGCAUUCUUGGACUUAUUGGGGCGCUAUCUUAACUAACAACUUCAUAUUCUUUACACUUUUACUUAUUUCAUUUGAUUUUGCUCGCUAACCUGACAAUAACUACUAAUAAUCGGACCUAGAAAAGAGCUAGCUGAACCAAGAUAAAUUUAACUACAUAUGAUCGUUUUACUGAUAAACAAAGGUCAUCUUGCUUAAUUGUGUGUUUUAACAUGUUAACUUAAGUUUUAACAAUUAUUACUUGGUACUUUACUAUGUGUUUAGGUGAUCACCUGAUGCAGUAAAAAAGACUCAAAGAUUGUACUUUUACACUAUAUAUCACGUCACAUAGUAAUAAAAGUCGAUUUCUAUUUUAAAGAAAGUAACCUGAUGAUGAUCAUGUGUGGUUUGAUAUGCAAUGAGAGGCAGUGCAAGUUGAGAUUCAUGGUCCAUAUCCAUUGGAGGUAAUUUUGGGACUUGUGUUGAGGUAUUAUUAUGUUGACUUCCAGAUGCUCGAAUCAUGUUAUAGAUAUAUGUCCAAAUAUACACUGCUCCUACCUACACAUAUAUAAUUAAUUAAAAUAUGAAAUAUAAUACAAACCACAAAUUAAUCUUACAUACUAUUAAUUUUAAUGUAAUUAGUUUGAAAAUUGACCUAGUACUAGAGAUUAGAGAUGUCAAAGAUGAGCCCAACUAUAGAUAACCUGUCCAAAAUUUUAAAAGUUGGACUCAAGAUAAUUUGUAUUGAGUUCAAUCUCAACUCAUUCAAACUUUAACUCAUUUUAAGAGAAUCCUCCAUUGACCUCAAUUUAAUCUUCAAUUUCUACCCAUUUUAAGACUCUUUAUUUUUAUUGAUAUAAUGUAUAUUCCUAUAUUGAAGGUACAACUUCCUAUCUAUUUUAUAUCUUUAAGGAUUUAUCUAUCCAUCUAUAUUUUCUUUUUUAUUUUAAAUUUUCUUGAAUUAAAAUUCAAAUUGUGGUUAUAAAACUUAAAUAACAGUAUAUUAAAAUGAUUGAGAUUAAACUGGUCAAAUUGGGUAGGUCAAGAUCUAACUCAUGUUUAAGCCUAUUUGAGCCCAAAAUAAACUUGGGUGGAUCAAUACCCAACCCAAUUUCUAUUUUAACUCAUUUUAAUAUCUUCAGUUUCAACCAACCGACCCAUUUGACACCUCUGCCUUGUACUAUUAAAAAGAGAGUUGUGUACGUAGUGAUACCGCCAUAGAUAGUGAUGCAUAGGCCUUCCCAUUAGUGGAGCAUGUAAUUGAAUCCCCAAAAGGACUAUUCUUCUCCUCACAUACUGCUGGAAUUAUGAUGAGAAGCAAGUUCCCCAAAUUCCCUAUAUAUUCAGAAAAAAAUAAAUAUGAGAUUCAGAUUUCAUUUUCCUAUAGAAAAUUAUAAAUACUAUUCUCUCUGUCUUAAUUUAUUUGUCUGAUUUUAUAUUUGACAUGAAAUUCAAGAAAGUAAAGAAGAAUAUUUGAAUCUCAUGGUCUAACUAAAUAUAUGUAAAAUUACCAAAAUGUUUUUAAUUUUAUGAUCUCAGAGGUGCAAAAUUAGAACUAAACUCGAGUUUGUUUACCUGCAGAACAACAACUAAUAACUAGGCCAUGGAGAUGUAUGGGAGUUUUUGUGAUUUUCACAAGUAUCCAUCCAAGUACUGAACCGAUAAUAAAGGUGAGAAGGAUGUUUACUGGCAUGAACCAUCUAUACAUAAAAAAAAAUAAAAAUACAUAAUUAUUAUUGAGUAAUUAAAUAAAUAAUAUUAAUGUAGCACAUAAAAGAAAAUGUACCCACAAUGAAACAAUGUUGCUCGAUGUUACUGUUUCAGCCAAGCUGCUUGCCACCAACGCUGGAGUAAAUAUAUAAAACACAAGCUCCUCCAACCAAUAUUCAACAACAAAAAAAAUUAAUUUCUUUGUUCAAUUAUAUUAACCGACUUCUUACCAAUCCGCGAAAGAUUGUGAAUCUGAAUUAGAUACGAAAAAAAUGAAUCUAUGUCUGUGCACGAAAUUAAGGUCAUAGAUUUAAAAGAAGAGAGAAAAGUUACAUUGUUCAAAUGGUGUCUUGCAGUGGAGCCAAGAAGAUUGAUACGUUCAAGAGCAAGGAAUAAACCAACAGCAGUAAUUAUGAGUGUUUUAAGAACAGGCACUAAUGCCACCACAAACAACUCCACAAAUGCCAUCCUCAAUUAAUUAAGUUGAGCAACUUUGACCAGAGUUUUAUAAUAGUUCAAUACGUAGAUAUAUAGAGAGUUAUAUAUAUAGGAAGUAUGUAUAGUAAGUACCAAGUUAUAUAUGAUGUGAUAAAUUAUGAUAAGAUUAGUUAUGAUGGAAUAAGUUAUGCUAAGAUUAUUUUUUUAUUUAGUGUUUGGUUUGUUGUAUUCAAAAUAAUAAAUCUUAAGAACAACAUAUAAGUUUAUAAAAAUACCCUUCAUGAAUGUGAAAAGUAAUGUAUAAAAAGUGUUUAAAGGGAUUUUUUUGUCAUUUUAUCCCGGGAUAAGUUAUCCCGGGAUUACUAUACGACCCAAGGGAAGAGAUAACUUAUUCCAGUACUUAUUAUUAAUCCUGGGAUAAGUUAUUCUGGACUUGCCAACCAAACAACAAAUUAAGUGCCACUAUAAUUUAAUCCCACGACUAUUUGAAGUUAUCCUUCACACCAAACGACCCCUAAAGAGUCGAUAGUAGUUACAGUUUGAAUUUAUUAAUAUUAUUAUAGUACUAAGAUUUAUUAUGGUUUAGAAUGGUUGAUAAAUCAAAUGGCUAGGUCUCAGUUAUACAAGUUGGACCAUAAUCAUUAGUCAGAAACUAGAAAUAAUAACGAAAAACUAUAUAAAUGAGUCAUAAAAUUUAAAAUAAUUACAUGUUUAUAUCCAAUUUUAAAAGGCGGAAUGACUUGGAAGGCCUUUGUACUUGGCUCAGUUUGUAAGUUGGACUCUUAUACUCACAAGUUUGUCAACUGAACCCUUAAACUCCACUAAAAUACAAUAAUUUAAAAACCCUUUUUCUCAUCUGAUGUGAAUGGGUGUGUACACUUAUUUUACACGUGAAAUUUAACGUCGUUUUUAGUGACACAUAACAUAUUAAUUAUUAAAAAGAAAUUAUUUUUGUUUUGGAGAAUAGUACUGAAAAUGUUGAAUUUUAUGUUCUUCAUAUUUGUUCUAAAAUUGAGAGUCAAAUUCAUGCAAUAAAUGAAAUUCUUGUCUAUAUAAUUUGAAUUUUACAUUACAAGUUCACAAACACAAACCUAAUAAAUUCUGAUCACAAUUUCAAAUUAAUUUCAUAAAUUCACAAAACCAAUAUAUAGUUCUUCAAGCUUAUGAUGGAGCUUUUCAAAUUUUUAGUAUCUAAUAUCACACUUCACAUUAAAUAUACGAGAUUCAAAAGAUACUCACGGAAUUAAAAUUUAAGAGUGAAAAUGUGCCGAACGAAAAUAACCAAAAAAUGUAUUGAUUUGAAAUUAAAAAAAAAUAAUUCUGAGAGAGCAUUUAGGGGUAGGAUAAAAGGUUUGGAUGGGGUGUUAAGAAGAAGUAGAAGAAGGGGUGGAUCUGAAAGUUGGGACUGGGAUGGGGUGGGGCAGUGGGUGUGAGGGGAGGAGGGGUUGAAGGUGGGUUUUUUUUCCAGCUUUUUCAGUUUUUUUUUUUUUUAAAUAAUAAUAUUUUUUAAUAUAAAAUAUUUUAAAUUCACUCGCUUUAGAACGCAUGUGAUGACGUAUUUUUCCAACUCAACAAUAUUAAUGUCACAUAAGUUUGGUCAAUAGUCAGAGGGAUUUAAAAUAUUGUGUUUCAAUGAGUUGAAGGAUUCAGCUCAGGGGCGGACCCACGUGUCAUCCAGGGGGUUCACUCGAACCCCCUCAAUAAAAAAAUACACGAUAUAUAUAAGGUGAAUUUUCUGGAUUUAUGUAUAUAUAUAUAUUUUGAAACCCCUCAAUGACAAGGUGAAAGAGAUAGCCCAGCGGCUGCUUCCUCUAAAAUUAAGCCUAACGUCGAGGGUUUGAAUCCCUGGGUUAGCGUUUUAUUUUUUACUUUUUAGUUUCAAUUUAUUUAUUUAUUUUAGUUCCAAUUCAGGUUUUCACAUUUUUUUUAGUUUUUUUUCUUAUAUAAAACAUGCUAAAAUGUGGUGUUAAACCCAAAAGAAUGCAAGGGUCAGCCACUAAAACUAUAUACUACUACUUCCUUGAAAUUUUGUUUUGUUGGCUUAUUUACACGUUAAUACUUUUAUUUUUAUAACCCCCUGAACGAAAAUCCUGGGUCCGCCACUGGUUCAGCUGACAAAGUCAUAAGUAUAAGGGUCUAACUUACAAACGGAUCCAAGUAUAAGGGGGUUCUCAAGUCAUUCACAGCUCAUAACCCCUUCGUUGAGGGUGAUAAUUUUCGCUUAAUUGAUACUAAAUCAGUAUCAUAUACUGUAUUGGUAUCAUUAAGGCUGAUAAUUUUACUUAACUGAUACUCAGUAUAUAUAUAUUGUAUUGGUAUUAUUAACUUUCUUGUUUAGAAAUUACUCAUUAGUCAAUGAUACUAUAAGAGUACAUGUAUAUUGUUGUGGUAUCAUUAAAGUUUCUUGUUAAAAAAUUACUCAUUAGUCAAUGAUACUAUAAGAGUAUAUGUAUAUUUAAUUGUCAUUAUUUUCUUUUAUAAAUAUCAAAGAUUUAAUUAUUGCGUAUCAAUAUAGGUUUCUUGUUCAGAAAUUACUCAUGACAAUUCUCAGUUGAAUUGAUGUAAUAUGUGGUAUUUUAAAUAAGCCUAAUAUAAUAAAUUUAACUGAGGAAAUAUCAACAAAAAGAUUCAAUCCUUGAUAUCUCUUAUAAAAUACCACAUAUUACACCAAUUCAACCACGUUUACGGCCUAUGUGGAUAAACUUUUAUCAUUUAAUUUUUUCUAAAGAAAAAGACAUAAAUUUACUCUUAAACUUGUCACGAAAAGUUAGUUACACGCUUAAAUUAUUGGUACACACCUAUACUACUCAAAAGUGAAUUUAAUAUCACCCUCAAAGUUGGAGUGGAAAUAAAACUAAAUAAGGUGUGUUUGAGUCAAAAUAACGUCAAAAAAAUAUAUAUAUCACCCCCACCCUUCUCCUUCACGCUACCCUACCUUUCUUCUCCUUCAUUUUUUCUUAUCAUGAACAUUCUUUUUGCUAUGGCUAAUGAGAAAAAUAAUAUAUUUUUUCAUGGUAACUUUUCAAAAGAAAAACACAAGAGAAGAUUGAGGGAUAGAAUUCCAUUGCAAAGAUUGGCAAAGUUGUUCAAUAAAUUAGGUUCUCUGUUCGAAAAAAUUUCCAACGAGAAAUUUACUAGUCCCAUAUCAAAUUCGUCAAGUCGAGCACUAAUUAUUCAAUUUAUAUAUAUAUAUAUAUAUAUAUAUAUAUAUAUAUUUGUUGAUUGUGAGCACAUGAAAUAAUAAAAAUUUCAAAUCUUUCUUUUUCUAUGUGAAAGUUUUUGGAUUUUGCACAAAAUCUAAUUUUUUAAUAUAUCUUCAUAGAUCUCUUUUGGUGGCGAGCUUGAUGGUGGUUAGAAAAAAAAAUAAAAAUUAGUGGUUGUAUGAUUUUUAUUUUCGUUAAUGGCAAUGAAACUUGUGAUUUUAAUGUGAAUGCUAAAAUUUAUGAUUAUGAUUGUGAUGAAUUUCAGUGGUGGUAAUGGUGGUGAUGUGACUCCGAUGGUGAAUUUAUCAAAUUUAUUAUGGUUGUUAUCAAAUUUUUUAUGAUGGCAAUGCUUGUGGAAAGAUUCUAAUGGUGAAUUUAGUUGUGGGAGGUGAAAUCUAUGGUGGAGGCGAAGUGAAUUUGGUGAUAAUGACAAUAAUGAUGAUGAUUUAAUGGUGUAUUGGGAAUAAGAAGCAAUUGAGUGACAUGAAUAAUUUUUUUUAAGAAAUCUGACACAAUUAUUAAUGUGGCAAUGAUAUAAUAAUGAUGUGGCGCGAGGUGAAAUACUUUUUCUCUAUGUCUUUUCUCUUUCAUUUUAUUUUAUUUUAUUUUUUACUUUGGUUAUGUUCAUUUAACAUAAAUUAGUUUUCAGCAUGGGGGAUUUCACAUGGAGAAAAAAAAGCACUAAAACGUGUCAAAAUUCUAGUUGUAUAGAAUUAUAUUGCUAGCUUCACUUCACUUCAUCACAGGGUUGGUUUUUUCUCGGUGAGAACUAAAGCGUCGUGAUUCACGAAGAAUACGUUAUUUUCAUAUAUGUUCUUUAAAAAUAAAAUGUAAUCUCACAAUAUAUCAUAGUAAUAUAUUAAAUUUUUUUCUAUUGAUUUUUUAUUUAAUAAUUAUCUUCAGGAAAUUGAUUUUCAUAGUACAAAACUGGAAGAUUAUUUCUUCAUUCAUGAUUUUCCGAUUCUGCCAAAAUGUUUACACUGAAAUUUGUUUCAGCGUGAAGGGGUGGGGAAAAAAUGAAAUAAAUCGGAGAAAUAAUUGAUUUUUAAAAAAGUCAAUAAGAACAUAUAUAUUAUCUAAACUAUGAUUUUAUGGCUUUGCUUUAAUCAAUUUAAUCCUUUAAUCUUAUCAAUUAAUUUUAACUUUUGUCAUGUAUUCUUAAUUAAGUAAGAAUUUAGAAAAAAAAAUUAAAAGUAAAGGUUUAGUUUGUAGCACAAAAUCAACUAUAUGUCCCACCUGCUGUCAUGCAUCUACUUUGUUCCACGUGACAUUUUUUCCAGUAAUUUCUAAUCUAAUGUCAAUUGUAGUUAGUUGGAAAUAACAAUUAUUGACGUCCAUAUGUUUGAAAUUCAAUAAUUGUUGUUUCCAACUAAUUACAAUUGACGUUAGAAAUUAUUAGAAGUUGAAAUUAAUUGAUACUCGUUUGUUUAUAAUUACUUGUCCACUUUUUUUUUUUUUUAUAGUUGUUCUUAAUUACUUGUCCAUUUUGACAAAUUAGAAAUGACAAAAUAAUUUUACCUAUUAUAUUCUCAAUUAAUUACUUUGAAAAAGGUAGAAUUUCUUGAAAAUCUAAAUUUUUAAUCCAUCCACUUUAUAAUUAAUAGGGGUAAAUGGUAUACUCACUAUGUCAAUAAUUGCUUUCUUAAUAAGUGUAUCAAUUCAAAAGUGGACAAGUAAUUAGGGACAGGGGGAGUAAGAUUUAAUUGAUUUAAGCAAAGCCCUAAAAUCACAAUUUAGAUACUCCAUAUAUCCCUAAUUACUUGUCCAUUUUUCCUUUUUUAGUUGUCCCUAAUUACUUGUCCAUUUUGACAAAUCAAGAAAGGACAAAAAAAAAAUUCUCUAUUAUAUCCUCAGUUAAUUACUUUGAAAAGGGUAAACUUUUUGAAAACCUUAACUUUUUAAUUCAUACACUUCAUAAUUAAUAGAGAUAAAAUGAUAAACUUACAAUAUCAAUAAUUCUUUUUUUAAUAGGUAUAUCAAUUCAAAAUUGGACAAAUAAUUAAGAACAGAGGGAGUAAUAAAUAGAGUAUGUUCUUACCGAUUUAAUUCAAGCCUUGAAUUAAUAAUUGCACAUGAUAUCAUAUAGUCAUUCGUAGCCAAUUAGCCAUCCGUAUGUCUUACAUUUCAUGACUAAGCAAUAUUGAUUUUCAAGUUUAGUCAAAUCAUUGUGGAUCCAUUUGUCUAUUAGAGCUUGUUUGUCAUUACUGCUGUUAAAAUUGCUUAUUUUCAUAAACACUUUUUUAAAAUAAUUUUUUAGAAAAGUGCUUUUAAAAAUAAUAAUUUGUGUUUGGUUAAAUUAUUUGAAAAAUGUUUUUAUAAGUAAAUUGUGUUUGACUAAUUUUUUUUAAAAAAAAAGUGUUUUUGAGAGUUAAAUUACGAUAAAGGACAAGUAUUAAUGUACUUUUAAUAUUAAGAUUAUUUUAUAGAAAGAAACUAGUUUAAACAUCUAUUAUAAAAAAAUAAAUUAAAUUUUAAAUUUUAUUAAAUUAAAAUAUUCAUAUUCAAAAUUUCAAAUAAUAUUAUACAUUUAAUGGAGGGUUGAAAUCUUAAAUUGUUAUUUUUCUUUUUUCUAAUCUUGCAAAAAUAUUGUUGUUACUUUUUUCUCUAAUUCUACAAAAUAAUAAUACAUAAACGAAAAAUAAAAUAUACAAUUUAUUACAUAAAAAUAAAACAAUAAAUUUUUUAAAUGAAACUUAACCAAACAUAUGAUGUUAAUUAAUUAAUAAGAUAUAUAUAUAUAUAAGGAUAUUUUAGUCUUGAAAAAAAAUUGUUUUUGCUUUUGCUUUUUUUUAAGAAGCAGAAAUUUUUAACUUCUUCCCGACAUCAGAAAAAAUGCUUAUGCUUUCAUUUAAAAGCAGUUUUUAUAGGUUUGUCAAACACAUAAUUUUUCAAAUAAAAGUGUUUUUUCCCUCAAAAUAAGUGUUUCUCGGCUCCCAACAGCAAUGUCAAACAAGAUCUUAGUUGAUACACCCAAAAAUCAAAAUCAGAUUUAUAUAAUUGAACUAAAAAAAAGUUAUAUCUGAAUUUUAAGCUAGAUUAUACUUUACUGGUUACGUUUUAUUAACUUUAAUAUUCAAAGGCUUUCAAGGAAUAAAAUAGAAAAAGUUAUCUAAAUACACAACUUAUUUUAUCAAAUAAAAAUAUCAUUUGAAAAAAUUACAAAAAUCCCUACUCUCUCCUAUUCUCGGAUACAUCACUUUUUGCGAUGUAUCGAUCAGAUACAUCACUUUACGAGAUGUAUCAGUCGAAUACAUCACUUUAUGCGAUGUAUCAGAACAUAUGUGAUGUAUCGGGACAUUGAGUGAUGUAUCCAAAACUGAGAUUGAUGUAUCAGGACAUUGCGCGGUGUAUUCGAAGUCUCGAUGUAUUGGGACAUUGAACGGUGUAUCCGAAAUCGAACGCGAUGUAUCGAGAGAGUUUUGGAAUGUAUCUGUAUUCCACCAAAUUUAAGGAAUUUUGGUAUUUUGAAAAAGAGUACGGAUAAAAUGUAAUUACUCUUAACACUAUUAGAUUUGUGUAAAAUAUGGAUUAUCAAACAUAUGGGCUUAUAGCUUGCCAAAAUUUAGAGCAUGUUAAAAUGUGUAACCAGAACUUAACUAUCUAAUAGACUAAGGAGAACAAAAAUCGUUCUCUUAUAGCAACGGAAAAGAUUUCGCCGGUAACGGCUAGUCAAAAGGAAGCUCAUACAUGAAACUCACCAUCGACCUCCUUGGGCAAAAGACCGCCAAACCCCCAAACCUAGACCCGAACGCUUUCCCCUCUCUAGCCAUAAACUCCCAAAUCUUCAACAACAACAACAAGAGUAACAAUAACCAGGGACAAAACACCAACUCCAAUGAGCAAUAGAGCUACAAGAGCGCUUUGGGUUUUCGAUCCCAGAACUUCAUCAAAGGCAGAAUCAAACUGCAACCAAGGAAACAUGAAAUAAUUAAUGGAAAACCUGUUGUCAGCUUUACCAAGGAAGAACACGACCUGCUAGCCAAUACUUGCAAAUGGACUCUGGUGGGGAAAUUCGAGCGAAAUCGCCCACAAAUUGAUAAAAUUAGGGCAGGUUUUGCAAAAAUUGUAUCAACCAAAGGUCAUGUGAAAAUUGGGGCAAAAGAUGGGAAACACAUUUUCAUUGAUGCUGAAAGUGAAGAAGACUACAACACUAUAGCUUCCUGCAACUUCAUUCAGUUAAGUGGAGAUCAUUCGAUGAAGAUCCAAAGAUGGACGACAAAUUUCAAACCAAACAAAGAGACGACUUUAGCUUCAGUAUGAAUCAAUUUACCAGACCUUCCGUGGCACUACUACGAAUGGGCAGCUCUUUGUAAAAUUGUGGAACCAAUUGGAACCCUUAUUGUCAUGGAUAAAGCAACUCAAUCAAAGACGAGACCUACAAUGGCCAAGAUGAGGAUGGAAAUAGACCUUAUGAAGCCUUUCAUUACUGAAAUUCAAGUGACAAUAAAGAGCUCGGAAGGACAAACGAAAGCACUCAAUCAGAAGAUUGAGUACGAAAAUAUCCCUAAAUUUUGAAUCCAUUGCAAAAUUCAAGGGCAUACAAAAGAGAAAUGCGAGAUCGUCCAUCAAAUUUAUUAGCAACAAAAACAAAAUUUCAAUAGAGCAAAUAUUAAAGAAGUUGAAUCCCAAAAACAAAACAACAAUGACAAGCAUAAAAUUGAUGGGACCAAGUAAAAUCCAGGUACGACUGCUGAAACUUUUUCUGAUAAUCAGAGUUUGCUUCAACAUAAAGAGAUGCAUAUGGAUAUGAAUUGCCAAGAAGAUCUAAAGGCCUUAACUAUUGAAAUAGAAAAGGGCUGGAAACAUGUGGAAAAGAAGAAAGGAAAAGGGAAAGACAAUGAGAAAGGAGACUAACUGGGUGAACCAACAACUAAACAAGAUGGAGGAAAAAAAAUCUUUGGACGUUAACAGUAGCAAACAUUAGAACAACAUGUUCCCUUGCUGUAAAGGAGAUGAUGGACUUAACCAUUGAGAAUAAUGAUCUGAACGAGAACAAGGAUCACGAGCAAGAAAACGAACAAAACACUUUGUUUGUUAACAGAAGUACAAAAUGGGACAAAGACCGACAAAGCAAGACGAAUGAAAGGCAAAAGGAUAAGAGUGAAAGGCACCAUCACAAUUUAAGAGUCAGGAAAGCUAGAAAAGAAGUACAACCUUAUCUAGAGAACAUAGAAAGGCAAAUUCAAAGCAACAAAGAAGAUGUUAACAUCAAUGAACCAAAUCUCCUCAAAGACCUUCCGGUUAAAAAGCAAAGUUUCAAAGGCAAAGUUCACAUCCCUAAAGGAGUUAAUUUGUAAGGAGUUGUACAAGGCUCGAGAAGUGAAGCAGAGCAAACAUGUCCCCAACUAACCCUUACUAAGAUGGAUCACCCUUUAAACCUCAAUGAUCAAAAGGCUGAUUUGGGAGAAGGAGAUGUGAGAAAUUUAGGUCGAACUCUAGACCCAGAACAACCUGAUUUUAGCAAUAAGAUAACAACAUUCCAGGUGAAUAACUCUCAGGAAAUGGACUAUGCCACUGGAGAAUGACACAACCAGGAUAUGUUUAUGAAGUGUCAAGAUGAUGAUCUGACAAGAUCAUUAUCGGAUGAUAAAUCUAAUAGGGGAAAUCAAAUAUGCAAAUUAGAUGAUCUUAUGAAGACGGGAAAACAAGAGCAACAUAGUAUUUCCAUCUUCAACAAUCUAUCUCCGAGGAAUCAUCAAAACAUUGGCGAUAGUCAACUCUACAACAGAACUACAAAAGAUUUCCCGGAGGAGCCUCAAAACUUACAAAAUUCUACCUUGAAAGUUUCUGAUGGUUAGAACAAUUUCUUGGAACAUUAGAGGUAUAGGAUCAAAAAGAUGUCUUGAGAGACUCCAAACUUUGAAACAUCAAUACCACUUGCCUCUCAUCUUCCUACAUGAACCUAUGGUGGACAGUGGAAAAAUCAAAAAAAUCAAAAGAAAGCUUGAAAUGCACCAUGCUUUUUACAAUUGCUCCAACAAAAUUUGACUUCUCUGGACCAAUGACAUCAACAUUAUUAUUGUUCAAGACAAAGAACAACAUGUCCACAUCAAAGUAAGUCAUAGUAGUUGUCAUUGUUUCAUUCUCACCGUUGUAUAUGCUAAAUGCUUAGAGGAUUUGAGAAAGGAAUUAUGGACAACUUAAGAACCAUGGCUGCAAAUCUCCAAGACCCCUAAGGAGUUACUGGCGACUUCAAUAUGAUUAUCAAUAGAGAAGAAAAAAUUAGGGGGAGACCUCACAUGAUGGAAGAGAGUAUUGAUUUUAUUGAAUGCCUCAAUGAAUGCGGACUACAUGAUGCUAGAUUCACCGGUUCUAAAGUGACAUGGUGUGACAACAGAGACCCUUCCAACACCAUCUGGAAAAGACUUGAUAGACUAGUCUUUAAGACCAGCUAGUUUGAUGCCCUUAACAAUACCUCAGUUACUCAUUUAUCUAGAUCUUGCUCUGACCAUGCCCCUCUUUUAUUAAAUCUUCUCCAUGAAAACAUUCAAGGCAUCAAGUACUUCAAGUUCCUUAAUUUCUAGAAUGAACAUCCAGACUUCUUAAAUAUUAUUCAUAAUAGUUGGGAUGUUCAUAUCCACAGUAACCCUCUGUAUAUUCUCCAACAAAGGAUCAAAAACACUACCAAAACUCUUACUACCUGGUCCAGAAACACUUUUGGAGAUAUUUAUGAAGAGCCUAAAAAGAUUGGAGACCUUGAUCAGGGAACUAGAGGAUACUUGCCUCACUAAUAAUAUUCCUGAGAAUAGGUGUGAACUCUCCAAAUGCAAAGCUGAAUUCAUAAGAUAUCUCAGAAUUAAAGAUUCUAUCUUAAGCCAAAAAGUUAGAGUUAAGUGGUUCAAUGAGGGGGAUGCCAACACUGCUUAUUUCCAUGCCACUAUCAAAGACAGAAGAAUGAGCUUGACUAUUAGAAGGAUUCGAGAUGAGAAUAAUAAUUGGUUGGAAGGAAAUGAAACUAUUGUUGAAGGGGCCGUAAACUUCUAUCAAAACUUGUUUGCCCAUGAACCUAGCACCAGUGACUACAGUGCUCUUAGUUGUAUAGAGAGUUGUAUCUUGAAUGAUGAUAACAAUAUGAUCAAUGUUAUUCCUUCAUUACAAGAAGUUAGUGACAUAGUUUUUUCAAUUGAUGCCAAUAGCUCACCCGGGCCUGAUGGGUUAAGUGGGAUGUUUUACCAUAAAUGUUGGAAUAUUAUCUCCAAUGAUAUUCAUAAUGCGGUUAAAGCCUUUUUUAAAGGAGCUUUCUCACCAAAUUUUACACACACACUUGCAUUGUGAUGAGUCCACGAUUUGGACUCUUUUAGGGCUUUAUUUUGAUAGAUUUAGUGUCCUCAAAUGCAUAUUUUGUCUCAAUAACCGAUGAAAAUCCUUGAGUUUCAGGUAUUUGGAGUUGGAGACAAAGCAUGGAUACUAUUGAGCAAAAAAGAAACAAGGCAGCUGAAAGAACGAAGAAAAGAAGACCUGAGGAUCGCCUAAACCAUUGGGCGAGUCACCGAAUGGUCUUGGUCUCGCCCAAUGUUCCAGUGUGCCAAGCCCUGAAGGACAAAAUCAAAUAGGCGAUAGAAAGUAGAAGUUGACGAGUCACUGAACGAUUCCGCGAGGCUGUGCCAUAUCGUCCAAAGUUACAGAGCGUGAAGUUGCUGAAGGACAAUGCAGAAAGACGAUGAACCAGACUAAAUGGCGGAUCGCUGAGUGGAUCGGCGAUUCAGACUAACUGCGUCAAGUGAUCCUUCGCAGCACACUUUUUGACAACUAUAAAUAUCUGCUUGAAUUUUUAGUUUAGUAUGCAAUUUUUUAGGUUUUACACUUCAGAACUUAGUUUUAGAACUUAGUUUUUGUAGACAAUUUUCCUUAGAUUUGGAGAGUUGAAGAUUUCCAUUUUCUAAGCAUUUGGAAGUGGAUAUUGAAGAUUCUUCAUCCUUGAUGCGUGUAAAGACAACAUUUAUCAUACCCAUUUGAUGGAAACACUUUUCGGUAUCGAUUUCUAUCUCUUUACUAUGUCUAGCUAAAGCCCAAUUCUUGGGGUGUGAUUAUGUCAAUAUGAGUUGAAUUUACUGAUGGGUAUUGCUUAUAUAUAGUUAUUUUGUUGUUUAAAGGUGAUUUUGUUCAAUAGUUAUGUUUGAAUUUAAUAGGGUUGUAGUUGCAAAUAUAAUUUUAUCUUCGUAUUUUUGACUUGCUCGAGAGAGAGGUUGUAAAACCAAAAUUACUGAAUCGAUAGUGGGUGGUUAUUGGGUUGUCGUGGGUUCAGCUAGAGAGAGUGAACCCUAAAUCCUCUUCCACACAUUCAGCUCGAGAGAGUGAAUGGACUAAGGCGAAGGUUGCGCUUCAUUGCCGCUUAUCGGUGUUCGAGAGAAAUCGAUUUGAUUCGAGGUAAAUUGCUUUAGAGAAAAUUUAUCCCCACUAAAGUCUAGUCUAGUUACGAAUUUACAGCGAUUUACUAUAAAUAGCAUUUACCCUGUUAUUUAUUUUAGCCCAUAUUCCUAUCACAUCCUAAGAAUACCGUCUCCAUAUUUGCAUUUUCGUUUUACUUGUCAUUUUAGUUGAUAAUUGCUUACAAAACCCUCUUUGAUAAUUGACACUUGUGUCACCCUCUUUAAUUUAUCAUGUUUCUCUUUGUAAAUGUUUAUAGCUAUGAUUAACUUGAACACAUUUUUUCUUUUCUAUAAAUUCUCACUUACAAACCGCUCCCUUGGGACUUAACCCCUACUCACUAGUUGGGUUAUAUUACUAUUGAUCGACCGUGGACUCUUAGUAUUGGAUGAAGUGCCCGGAUACGUCAAGUCAAAAUGGCGCCACUGCUGGGGAAUGGUGUUAAUUGAGAAUUUUUAAUUAAGUUAAAUUUUGUUCUUGUUAGUUAUAGUGAUACUUACUUAAUUUUUAGCUUUGUCUUGCUUGUUUGUGCUUUGAAACAGAGGAGGUGAGUAUGUCGAGCAGUACUCGCGAGCAAAUGGAGUUUCCUCCAUUAGAAGUAAUGAUGUUCAGAGAACGCACUCUAACCUUCAAACAAUUGGAAGGUGAACGGAUCAAUGAGGCAUGGCUAAAGUUUAAAGAACUACUAGUUCAAUGCCCAACUCAUAAAAUUCUCGAUAUAGUCCUCCUGGAUUGCUUUUACAGAAGUCUUGGUCCCGAAAACAAGGUAUUGGCUGACCAACUCAUUUCAGGUGGUAUUACACAGCAGCCCUAUGUGAUAGCAGCCCACCUGCUUGGUCACAUGGCUGAAACAAACCAAGAAGUAGAGAAUGACUUCAUGUUGGCCGCACUGAUGACUCAGAUGGAUGAGUUGGCCAAAAAGAUAGUGGAAAUUGAAGUCUAAUGCAAAAUAAAGGACAAAUACAUCACUCAUCAUGAGCGAAGAAAGCCUAAGGACAAUGAGGGUAAAUGUGUCGAAGAAAUUCCCUCAAUCAUUCUCCACAAGGUAAAUGAACAUGAUAUAGUGUUGGAAGGGAUGAAUGAGAACAUCGAAGUGAUGAAACAGAUGAUUGGUUCUCAUUCCAGAUCUAUCCAGUUGCUCGAGAACCUGAUAGGUCAUAUGAUACCUCAUUUCUUCCCGCAACAAAAUAUGGGGUUGCCAAGUGAAACUAUGGCUAACCCCAAGAAUAGAGUUUGAAUGGUGACUAGCGUUGUGCCACGACAUUAUUAAGGCGUUGUUUGGGAGGCAACCCAAAACCCUUUAUUGCUUUAUUUUGUUUUAUAAAUAAUGGUGUGUUGAUUUUGUAGGUUAAAGUGUGGAGAGUGUUUGAAAAUUGCAGGUUGGCGAGCUAAAAGUUUCAGAUAGUGCAUCACUGAAAAGGUCGGCGAACCUGACCUAAUCCGCCGUUUGACUCAAGACAUCUUCAAAAUGGAGUUUGUAAAACUCAACAAGCCCAACAAAUUAUCGGCGAUUCCGACGUAGACCGCCGUUUGGACCUUCACAUUAACUGGAGAGCCUAUAAAACUCAGCGAGGUAAGUGAACACUCGGUGUGUCGCCGAAUGGGAGAGAACUGGACGAUUUUAAAGGCCAAUGGUGUCAAAGUUUCAAAAUCUUCACUUUCUCUUGCUUUCAAACUUCACAAACUUGCACCUAGUUAGUAUUUUCAAUAUAUUUGCACUCCAUAAGUAUUUUUGGUUGUUGAUUGGUGCUCGGACUUUGGAUUACAUUGUCGCCUAGUUUUUCAAUUUUAUACUUUAAUCGGCAUAAAAGGUUGGUUUUUCAAACCCGAGUUUAUUUUAUUGAAUUUGUACUCAUUUGCAAUGAUAUUAUCGUAUUGUCGUGUGCUGGGCCUCUCUGAUAGGAUUAGAUUGUUUAAAUGCCUGAUUUAAUUUGAUAAACUCGCUCGUAAUGCUUAUGGUGUCGUUUUCCCAUGUUCUGUUGCAUUGAAAUUGGUUAAAUUUCGUGGAGCUGUGCUUGCUUGUUGGUUAGAUUGGUUGGGUGAAGUCUGAGUAGCUCGUAUUUGUGCUAAAUGAUGUAAAUUGCACAAUGAUAGAGUGGGUUAAGGGAAAAAAUCGUCAAAUGGACAAAUUUGGCAAAAUUGGGAAAAGUCUGUGUAUCUCGGUGUGAUGGUGUUAUGGGCCUGAGCUUAAUUUAACUAGUGCAUGCUUUGAUUUUAUUUUCGGGGGUUGUGGGGUUGAAUUCGAGAAGUUUGGUUGAAAGUAGGCAUGUUGGGUCGUUUGGGGAGUUAGGUCGAGCUCGCCAAACCACUCGGCGGUUCGUCUAAUGUCCCCAUCUCGCCUUUAAUUUUAUGUUUUAUUUGAUGAUUGGUUCUGUAACUUUCGGCGAAAAGGCUGAGGUCACUGAGCGCACUCGGCGACUCACCGAAAGUCCUCUUGAUCCCUUUUUUUCUGCAUCCGUAAGUCCUUUUUGCAUUGUAACUUUCGGUGGGCUGACCAUGGUUCACUGAAAGUAGUCGGCGAAUCGUUGAAAGAGCCCUCAUAUCGCUGAUUUGCUGAGAUUUUUUAGCCAAUUCCUUCGGCAAGCCCGAUCUAGCUCGCCAAAAAGAUUCUGCGAGUCUGUCUGCACUUAAUUUUAUGUGCAUUGAUUUAAAUAUUUACUAACUUUUCUCUGAUGUUUUGUAGAUAUGGUACGGAUAAAUCGAGAUAGGCCACCCCAUAAAAGAGCACGGGACAUUACUAUAAUGAAGGACGAUCAAAUUCUCCAAAGAAGGAAAGGCAAGAAUUCCCACCGGGAGACAAAGGCAAAAGGAAAAAGCACACAUCUGAGAGAGUGGUUGUUGACACCCAGGGUAAUUUGGCUGAGCAUGAAAACAAGCAACCUUUGAUUUCCCGAAGGAAUGAGCUCCGGGCUAGAUCUCACCCCACGUCCACUAGAGUUCCUCAUGCAUCCACACCAGCAGAAUCACUACCAAAUCCAGCACCUCCUGUCGCUCCCGUUCCACCAUUCGUUGCUGCACCCAGACUUCUAAACCGGUUGAAAAGCGAUGGUUUACAACCAUCCUCGAGGAUAAGUUAUUAUCUACUGAGGCCCUGGAGGGUAAAUACUUAAAUGUGCUGGACACUCUCAACUACCAUAGGUUUAAUUAGUUUACCAGGCCCUGAGGACCUUAUGUUCCUUAAUGGGUUCGGGAGUUCUAUAUAGCCUAUAAGGAGUUGGUGCCUAAGAGUAAGAAAAAGACUAGCGAGUUCAGACCGGUAAAGUCGGUUAUGGUCAGAAGUAAGGAAGUUGGGUGCAGUAAUGAGUAUACUAACACUCUAUUAGAGAGAGCUCUACACUCUACAUGUCCUUAUGAUGGUUUACCUGUGGCUCAAUCUUUAGAUGACCUGAAGGGCUGUUUGGCCCCACUGAUUUCUGACACCACCCCGAAGUGGAUAGAGGCAAGAGUCCCCAUAGAGAAGAGCGAUUUGAGCAUCGCUGCCGGUUUCUGGUUUGGCUUCAUCAGACGAGUCUAUUCUGCGCCAUCCUAAGGCAGCAUGCCUUGGAUCUAUCAUGUCACGAAGAAACAUCGACCUGGACUUCUUAUUUUGCAGGAGAUGGCCAUGAGAGCCAAGCAGAGGCAGAUCACUAAGUUGUGUUGGCGUGCUGGAGUACCCAGGGAUUGUGCAAGAGAUAUUGAAGUUACCCCUUCUUCCUCUACUGACAUCCGGCAUAUUGAGGCCGAGUACACUAGAGAAGAGGUUGACAGGAGAAGGGCAGCUCCGGUAGACACAUCUCCAGAAGUGGAUAUGGAUUUGAUACCUGCAGAGACGUCUUCACCUACUCCGGCAGCCUGGCCUUCAAGUACUUCUACCUUUUCUACUUCUUCACAGGUUUCGGGCACCUCCACCUUGUACCAGCUAGCUAAGAUUACUCAGGCGAUGAUCCUGAAAAUGGGGAAUUUGACCCAUUCAGCUGACGUAAGGGUGACUCGAUUGGAGAAAUCCAUCACAGGGAUGAUUGAGAGUGCUAUUUUGGCUGCACUUACCCCCUCCAGACUUCUAUUGAUGAGUUGGCUGUGAUAGUCACAACUUGUAAGAGCAGACAGGAGGAGGCCUCCAAGGUUACAACUUUACAAGCCGAGGUAACAGACUUAAGGAAGGACGUAGACUAUCUGAAGUCUACCGACUUCAUUUCAUUACUGAAGGAUGCUGAUGAUGUAGAUGCUUCUGAGAUUCCUCCGGCUACCACAAGCGAUGUACACUGUGAUGAGACCGCAAUGAGUGAGUCGGAUGCUGAGACCGACAAGGAGCAGAUACAUAUACAGUAGGAGAGAAUAUAUGUAGACUUGCCGGAUCUUGACGGGAUGAGUACGCAGUCAGUGAUCCAGACAUCACUUACCAAAACUUCCUUGGCUACUCCUAGUGCUAUUACUGUUCCUGUUGAGGUGACUCCGGGUACUGAGACCCGAGACUAGACAGAUGCACCGGGCACUGAAGCCCAGACAGAUGGAGUGACUGCGUAGACAAGAUACCCUCUUUACCUCCCUUUCUGUCUUACUUUACUUUACUUUGGGAUAUUUUCGUUUGCAUUUGAGGACAAAUGAUUUUUGUUUGCGGUGGGGUGAAGCCCACCUUUGUGCAUAUUAGUUUUGUUUAUAAAUUGGGCUUUGAGAUUAAAUUGUGUUGUACAUUGCUUUUUGUGGAAGGUUUGAGCUUGUGGCUCUUUGUUUUUAAUUGUAAAUGAUUUUUGAGCCUUACGAAAAAUUUUGCCACCUCUUGUAUGUGUUUAAUGUGUCUAUUCUCGUGCAAAUUUUAGUACCGAUUUUGAUCAAUAUCGAUGACUCAAAUAGUGCUCAUAAUCGAACAUAAAUGAAUGUGCGGCUAUAACGAGGCCAAUCAAAGUUGCAUAGACGAUAUAUGAACUUUUUGCAUCUCGUUGUGACUAGCCAAUUAUCGAAUCGACUCUCUUGUGAUAAACAUUGCACACUAGCGAAAGUGUGGAGUCUUGUUUGACUUUGGUGUCAAUGCCUUGUGUGAUGAGCUUACCGUCAACCAUGUGUGGUGACACCUAGAAUUUUCCCCGUUGGUCCGAUUGACUAAGUGAUGCAAUUUCUUAAGAUGAUCUUAGGCAACUUUAAAGAGUGUAAACCAAUUUGACAUUAUACCUUUUUUGUGGCUUACCAUGUGAGUGUGUGAACCUCUUUUGAGCACCCUUUGAGCCUAAACCUUUUCUUGGAAGAAACUUGAUAACUUUGCUACCUUUUUUGACCCAUUACCCAUAAUCCUCGUGAUCUGUGGUUUGUUUGUGUCACGCCCCGAGCCUAGACCUCGGACGUAGCUGGCACUCGAGAACUAUUUCUGGACCCAAGCGAACCCUUGGCCUGGCUAACUUACUCAGCGGAAGACUUAAACUUCAGAGAUAACUUCAAAUAAAGAACUUAUGACAAAUCUUAGAAUGUCUUUAAAGAAAGCAUUCAAACUAGCCAAAAUGGCUACUCAAGUCUCAUGGCACAACAUCUGAAAUACAAAGCUGUAAAACUCAUAACUAACUGUCUGACUAUCUGUGAAACCUCUAAAACAACUGAGAUGGAUGUUGGGACAAACCCCACAACAUCCUAAUGAACUAAUAAUAAAACUGAAAGCAAUAAGAAGGAGUCCUCCGAAAUGCAAAGAGGCUCACCAACUGACUCUGGAGUGCUCAACUGGAUCAAUGAGACGCUUGAUGCUGAUCCUGAUUACCUGCGUCUGCAUCAUAAUAAGAUGCAGGCCAACUGGCAUCAGUACAUUGAAUGUACGAGUAUGCGAGUUGGAAUGCUAAACAUAACAUAGGAUUGAAAAGAUUCUGAAGGAAACACUUACCUUGGCUCUUCUCAACUCAUGAAUAACUCAACUCAUAAUAAAGCAAUGAAACACAUGUAAUAUAUGAAAAAAACUUUAUAAAACAGUAAAAGCAACUUAGUUCGUUAAAGAAAAUGCAAUAACAAACUCAACUUUACUUAUAACAAAGUAAUAUAGUUUCUGUGGGAGAUUCUCUAACUGAUAACCACCACUAUGAGCCUACGUGAUGGUAUAACGUUUUACCUCACGCUGCCAAGGACCGUCCUAUACCUUACCAGUGGUAUAAAACCUAACUCACUAUGUGGAUCCACUAGUCUAUGCUAAAAGCAUCUCAAGGAGUCAUCUAAAAAGUAUGAUCCUUUACUACCCAUGAUGGCUACAUGGUUUAUGGAGACUUGAAUUAAUAUGAACUCCCAUCCUCAUAUCGGUGCUCAAUACUACUCCCAAAAUCUACUUAGAUCAUAAGUUUUAAAACAAACUUCUUUCUUUGGUUUGAGAUAAUUACUCUAAACGUAGCUUAAAAUCUCUCUUGUAAUCGAUGUUCCCUUUUCUUGCUCAAAUGUGAAAACAUUUAUAAACUCUUUGGAAAGACAUAGUUCCCUUAUAGAUUUUUGAGAAAUUAACGCAACUCUUUACUCUUUGCUUAACUUGAAACUUAAGUCUUUAAACAAGGUUAAAAUGUUUGUUAAAGACUUUUGAAAACUUUAAAAACUUUGCUUUAACUUGCUACUUGACUUCUAGACUUGACUUUUAACUUCUCUUGACUUUGAUCCUAACUUUCCUUGAAUUGGAUUAUGGAUUCAAGGUUCAUGAUCUCAUGUUUAUGGAUGAUUUCAUGAUGUUUAGAUGUACCUUAGAGUGAUGGAAUCAACUAGAAAACAUAGGUACAUUGCUAAGGAACAAGUACGAAAAGGUGGGGAGCGAAUAGGGAGAACUGGCGUCCCUGGCGCUCUGAGAGGCGCGGGGCGCCAGCCCUCAACAUUCAGGGACUGGUCUGGCGCGUGCUGGCUGGCGCAGCGCCCCAAGAGUGAAGAUUCAGAGAUACUUUUGGGGAACCCUGGCUGGCGCGAAUCCCCACCCCUAUCCUCAGGUGUUUGACGACUUUUCUUCUCCAUUUUUCAUCUCUAACCCUCUAAAUUUCCAUGGUUGCUUCCCCAAACACUUAGAAUCAUUUAUACCCUCAAUAUAUGAUAGAUUCAAACUGAAAUUACACCCGAAAAUAUAAAUCCAAUCACAAGAAACUUCAAUCAACACAACCCACAAGAAUUCAAGAAAACCUUCAACAAUGUUCAUCAAGAACUCAAUUUCUAAACCUUCAAAGACUUAAAUUCACUGAAUUAAAUUAUGAUUGGCGCGUGGGUGAACUAACCCAGCGCUAUGUGAUCUCACAUACCUUUUUAGGGAUUAUUCUUGACGAAAUCCACAAGCUAUCCUUGACGAAAUCGAUGAAUCUUGAAUGUUCUUCUCCUUUCUCCUUUUUUCUCCUCUUCUCCAAGCCCUAGCGUGAAAUUCACUUUCUAAAACUGACAAAAAUCUGAAUUUACCCAAUUAAACUCCUAAAUAUGAAUUAGAUUAAUUAGGUAAGGAAAAGACUAAAUUACCUUUCUAAAAUCCGGAUUAGACUUUUCUUAAUCCAACAACCCAACUUCCAAAAGGGAUAACUUACUCAUACGAACUCGAAAUCGCGCAAACUCGGCGGCGUUGGAAAGAUCAUUCAAAGAGAUUUCCAACCAUUUCUAUAAGUACACUAAAUCAUCCUGAGAUAAGAGUUAUGGCCGUUUGAAGUUGACCAAAACUCAACCUUUCCUAACUUAAACAAAUUUUCCAUCUUUUCAUUCUUUCCAAAAAUGACUAUUUCCAAUUAUAAGUUUCUUCCUAGUUAUUUCAAAUUGCGAGUUGUUACAAUAUAUCCCCCUUAGGAACAUUCAUCCUCGAAUGAGAUUACUCUUACUUUGUUAAGGGUGAUAACAUCAAGUUCAAACACCCAACAAGCAAAUGCAAACAAACAACAUGCUCACUCACAAGUUUAAGGAGUACUAAGAAGAGAAUUAGCAUCUUGGUCUGCAUUUUCUCCUGACUCAAAGAGAUGUGGAUAUCACUUCUUCAUAUCUUCUUCAGCUUCCCAAGUAUCUUCCUCAACAAAUUGGUUCCUCCAAAGGACUUUGACUGAUGCUACUUCUUUAGUCCUCAACUUGUGAACUUAGCGGUCUAAGAUCUGAACAUGAAUCUCCUCAUAAGAUAAGACAUCAUUGAUCUCAAUAUCUUCAGUUGGUAUGAUCAAUGACGGAUCGCCCAUGCACUUUUUCAACAUGGAGAUGUGAAACACUGGGUGAACCGCGGCUAACUCUAGUAGUAGCUCCAACUCAUAAGCUACUUUGCCAAUCCUCUUGGUUAUUCGGUAAGGUUCGAUAUACCGGGGACUAAGCUUCCCCUUCUUACCAAAUCUCAUAACACCCUUCAUGGAUGAUACUUUUAGAUACACCCAAUCAUCUACUUUAAACUUCAACUCUCUUCUAUUAAUAUCAGUGUAGGAAUUUUGACGACUCUGUGCCGUUUUCAAUCUCUCUUGAAUCACUUUAACCUUCUCCAUAGCUUGAUGAACUAAAUCUGGUCCUACCAACCCUGCUUCACCAACUUCAAACCAUCCAAUAGGAGAUCUGCAUCUUCUCCCAUAAAGAGCUUCAUAUGGAGCCAUUAGGAUGCUAGAGUGGUAACUAUUGUUAUAAGCAAACUCAAUAAGAGGUAGGUGAUCAUCCCAAUUACCCUUGAAAUCAAUCACACAAUCCCUCAAUAUUUCCUCUAAGGUCUGAUUAGUGCGCUCUGCUUGCCCAUCAGUCUGAGGAUGAAAAGCAGUACUCAAGUUCACCUUUGAACCCAAACCCUUUUGAAAAGACUUCCAGAACUGUGCAGUAAAUUGUUCACCCCUAUCUAAAAUAAUGGAGACUGGAACCCCAUGAAGUCUUACCACCUCUUGAAUAUAAAGCUUAGCAUAAUCUUCUACUGAGUGGGUAGUCUUUACCAGAAAAAAGUGAGCUGAUUUUGUCAUUCUAUCGACAAUCACCCAAAUAGAAUCAUGCUUCCUGCGAGACCUUGGUAACCCGUGAUGAAGUCUAUGUUAAUAAUCUCCCACUUCCAUUCCGAAAGUUUGAUAUUCUGAGCCAAACCAUCGGGCCUUUGGUGCUCUACUUUAACUUAUUGGCAAUUUGGACACUUAGCAACAAAUUCUGCAAUGCCCUUCUUCAUAUUGUUCCACCAAUAUACCUCUUUCAAAUCACGAUACAUCUUUGUGGAACUCGAAUGAAUGGAAUAUCUGGAGCUAUGAGCCUCCUCCAUGAUUCUCUCUUGGAGUCCAUCCACCCUUGGUACACACAAUCUACCUUGAUAUCUCAGUAUGCCAUCUCCCCUUUGUUCAGAAGCUAAUACUUUUUGCUUAUGAACAUUUGCCUUCAAUUCAAGCAAAAUAGGGUCUUGGUCUUGCUUGCCUUUUACUUUUGACACUAAUGAUGAUUCAGCCCCAUUCAUCACCACUAUUCCUCCUUUUGUGGAAUCCAUAAGUUUGACUCCCAGGCGUGCAAAUCUAUGCAAACAUUUUGCUAACUCUCAAUUUUCUUCCUCAACAUGGGCAAUACUACCCAUAGACAAGCUGCUUAAGGCAUCAACAACAACAUUAGCCUUACCUGGGUGGUAAAGAAUACACAUGUCAUAAUCCUUGAGUAAUUCUAACCACCUCAUUUGUCUUAGAUUAAGCUCUUUCUGAGUGAACACAUAUUGAAUACUCUUGUGAUCAGUGAAUACAUUAACAUGAACACCAUACAAAUAAUGACACCAUAUUUUCAAAGCAAUUACUAUGGCAGCCAAUUCUAAGUCGUGGGUUGGGUAAUUCUUCUCAUGAACUUUCAACUGUCUGGAGGCAUAAGUUAUAACCUUGUCAUUCUUCAUUAAUACACAACCCAAACAAACUCUAGAUGCAUCAAAAUACACCACAAAGCCUUGCGUACCUUUUGGUAAGGUCAAUACUGGGGCAUUACUUAACCUCUUUUUCAAUUCCUAAAAGUUUUUCUCAUAAGCUUCAGACCAUUGAAACUUAACUGUCUUCUGAGUAGAUUUGGUCAAAGGGGACGAAAUAGACGACAACCCCUCUACGAACCUUCUAUAAUAUCCAGCCAAACCCAAGAAACUCCUAAUAUCAGUUGGAGAUGUGGGUCUAGGCCAACUCUGAACUGCCUCUAUCUUCUGAGUAUCAAAUCUAAUUCCAUCACCGGAAACUAUGUGGCCCAAGUAUGCCACAGACUCAAGCCAAAACUCACAUUUUGAGAACUUAGCAUACAACUCCUUAUCUUUCAAAGUCUGAAGAACUAUUCUGAGAUUGCUAGCAUGGUCUUCUUCAUUCCUUGAAUAGAUUAGUAUGUCAUCAAUGAAGAUGAUAACAAACAUAUCUAAAUAUGGUUUGAAAACUCUAUUCAUAAGGUCCAUGAAUGUUGCGGGUGCAUUAGUUAAAUCGAACGACAUGACCAGAAACUCAUAAUGACCAUAACGGGUCCUGAAUAUUGUCUUAGGAAUAUCACACUCCCUUACUUUCAACUGAUGGUAGCCAGAUCUGAGGUCAAUUUUCGAAAAACAAGAAGCACCAUGAAGUUGAUCGAAAAGAUCAUCAAUCCUCGGAAGAGGAUACUUGUUCUUAAUGGUAACCUUGUUCAAUUGGCGGUAAUCUAUACACAUCCUAAGGGAACCAUCUUUCUUUCUCACAAAUAAGACGGGAGCGCCCCAAGGUGAGACACUUGGUUGAAUAAACUCUUUCUCUAAAAGGUCUUUCAACUGCUCUUUUAACUCUUUCAACUCUGCUGGUGCCAUCCUAUAUGGAGGAAUAGAGAUAGGACGGGUAUCUGGAAGAACAUAUAUACCGAAGUCUAUCUCUCUCUCAGGAGGGACUCCGGGUAGAUCAUCUGGAAAAACUUCUGGAAACUUUUUUACUAUAGGAACUGACUGGAUAAGAGGUAUCUCAACACUAGAGUCAUUAACUCGGACUAAGUGAUAGACACACCCCUUAGAAACUAACUUCCUUGCCUUAAGGUACAAAAUGAAACAACCCUUAUGCACUGCUGAACUACUUUUCCACUCUAAGACUGGCUCAUUUGGAAACUUGAACUUGACAACUCGAGUUCUACAAUCAACUAAGGCAUAACAGGUAUGAAGCCAGUCCAUACCAAGAAUGACAUCAAAAUUUAUCAUGUCUAACUCAAUUAGAUCAGCCAUGGUACUCUUGUGAUCGACGGAAAUGGGACAAUCACGAUAUACUCUCUCUGCUAGAAUAGACUCACCAACAGGUGUAGAAACACCGAAGGGCUCAAGAUGUUGCUCUGGAAGAACAUCAAAACUGAAGACUUGGGUCAUACCAGUGACAACAUCUGGUGAAUGCUCUUGCUCUCGGCGACUAGCGAUAGCACAAAGACGGUUUCCUUCUCCGUCUGCCCUUGAAGUAGCUCAUCUAGAGGCAACUCUAUCUGGUAGAGCAACUGAAGAAGAUUGGGCUACAUUGCCCCCAUUAACAUUACUCUGUCUGCUCUUAGGACACUUUCUCAUUAAAUGACCGUUCUGGCCACACUUGAAGCAACUAGUGGAGUCAUCAUGACACAUCCCUGAGUGGCUCAUAUUAUACUUAGCACAAGCUGAGUAUGGCGAUAAGCUGAGGCUACGGUUUUUGGAUUGAAAUGGUGUGCUGGCAAAGGUUUUGAUAUGGCAAUAAGUGAAACUGAUUCUCUGCUACUAGCCAAGUGUUCCAGAAAAGAGUGGAAACCUCCUUGGAAAAUCUCCAACCAAAUAAAAGAGAUCCAGAAAAUGAUUGAAGAUCAUGACUUCAAUAUCAACCAUUGCUUCAGAGAAGCAAGUAGACCAGCGGACAGUCUAGCAAUGCUACAUCAUAAAUUUAUAGGAGUGAAGACCUUUAAUCUCUUCUGUGAACUUCCCAGUAACAUAAGAGGUCUGGUCCAUAUGGACAAAUGGAGCUUACCAACAUUUAGGAGUAAACCGGCAAAACUUGCCAACAUCAUAUAUGAUCCUCCUUGAUCUCCCAACCAAUUAUCUCUUGUUUUGCAUAGGAAUAGAGUGUUAGUCUCAUCUCUAUGAUCAUGUACAAAGUUUGGGAUGCCAAGCUCAAAUUGUAACUUUUUGCACAUCAAUGAGCAAUGGACUUCUAAUUUAUUUUUUUUAAAUUUAGAGCAUGUUUGGUAUUGCUGGUAAAAAUUGAUUAUUUCUAGAAUCACUUUUCUAAAAUGACUUUUUAGAAAAGUGCUUUUGAAGAAAAAAACAAUUUGUGUUUGACUCAUUCAUUUGAAAAGUACUUUUGAUAAACAAAUUGUGUUUGGCUAAUCUUUUUUAAAAAGUGUUGUGAGAGUCAAAUUACGAAAAUGGUAAGUAUUAAUGUACAUUUAGUAUUGAAGUUAUUUUAUAGAGAGAAAAUAUUUUAAAUAUUUAUACAAAAAACUUAUUUAAAUUAAAUUAAAAUGUACAUAUUUAAAUUUUCAAUCAAUAUUACUCGUGUACACAUAAAUAAAUAAAAUAUUAAUAUAAUAUUAACAUGAUGAUGAUUAAAUAUAAUUAAAAUAUCAAGCAAAAUAAAUUUAAAAAAUGGAUAAACUACAUUAUUAGACAUACAUCACUAUCAUAUAUAUUAAUUUUAACUCUACUUUCAAACAAUUAUAUAUAUUACCACUUUUAAUAUUUUAACAUUUUAAUAACAAUCAAAUAUGUUCUCCCUCAUCAACUUUCCCCAAUCUUCAACCCUAUCAGUAUCUCUCCCUCCACUAAUUAAUGAGUAGUCAACCAUUUAUUUCUAACAAUCAAGUAUAGUUCAUAUAUUUACCCCAAAGAGGAUGACUUUAAUGAUAAUUUAUGUUAUGUUUUAGUUGCUUGUUGUAUUUGUUUGUAAUACCUUGCUCCUUCAAAUAACCCUGGUAUGAAUUUGCUCAAAGUCACUUUUGAUGGUACUGAAUAUGGCAAUGGCAGAUAUGUGUUUUGAUCUCUCUCUCAACUAAGCAUACGCUAGGUUUUUAUCACUGAAGGUUGUAAAUCUACCCAGAUUCAUCCUUGCUUGAUCAUUGGAGAAGAUGAUAUGGUGAUUGUGUGGCUUCUCAACUCCCUCAGCAGAGACAUCUCAGAGAGUGUGAUUUACUUUCAAACUGCGAAGGAUUAGUGGACUGAGCUUGAGGAACGCUAUGGACAAGCAGGUGGUGCUAGGGUUUUUCAACUGCAACGAGAUAUCAACAAUAUUAGUCCGACUUCAGAUAGUGUAGUUUAUUAAAACUAAACUUCAGAGAAUUUCUCAAUACCUUUAUGAUUUAUCGUUGUGAUUGUGAUUGCGGACACAAUGCUAAUAUGAAUGAGGAUCAACAACUUUUUCAAUUUUUAAUGGUUCUUAGUAAUGUCUACACUGGUAUUCGAGGUAACAUUCUUAUGAUGAAACCACUUCAUUCAACUGCACAUGUUGUCACGACCUAUACCGUCGUGAUUGGCACCCACACUAACCCUCCGGUGGGAGAACCAUUACUACAACCCAAACUAACAACUUAACCAAAAUAAUAAGACAUUUAAAGAUACAGAAGCAGGUUUAAAUGCUAAGGAAAAGAAAUAGGGAGUUCCCAUAAACUCCAAACAAAAGUUUAACAACUAAAACAAUGCGGAAUAACACCUAGAACCUGAAAGUCAAUGUACCAAAACAUCUAAGGCUCAACCAUAAGUCUAAACAAGAAGGGGUACAACCCCAUACUAAACAUAAGAAAUCUAAGGAACUAGUCUAAGUUCGAAAAUGCGGACAUAAAAAAAAAAGAACUCAUGGCAGUCCAGAAGAACUGGCUCACCCUUGAAUUCGAACGAUCACAGAUCUUCUAAACGAGGUCUGUCAAUAGUCGCUUGAAGAUGCCCUGUACUCAACAAAGAAAGAGCAAGUGCAUUAUCAGUACACAAUCACCGUGUAUUGGUAGGAUCAUGCGGCUAUCCCACUAAGUGCAGCAUACAUAAGCCAUUACAACAUAACAAUAACAUGCAUACACCGAACAUAUACAAUAUCAAUAUCAUUUUCGAACAACAUGCAAUUUCACAAUUCUCAAGAUAUGCAGUUAUGUCAAGUCAAUGGUCCUCUCAGGAGCCCACACCCAAACUGUUAAUGUACCGAUACGUGGUACCCGUUCCAAGUUAGCGUGUUGGAUCGUGACACCUGUUCCAAUAUUUAUGCCGGUACGUGGCAAUCGAUCCCAGUUAGUGUGUCGGAACGGAACACCCGAUCCAUUCAACAAGCCGCAAUCACAACAUAAGUAUCUUAUCAAAAUUAUACAAUCAAGUCAUAAUUCAUGGCAGUUAUCAUUCAUCUAUCCUCAUUUACAAUUAGUGUGAUCAAUAAUACAACAUUUGCAUACAUACAUGUAUUAUAAUGAAGCAAGAACAAACAUACAUCACACAAUAUGAAAUCACAACCAUCACCUACCUCAAAGAAAGCUUUAAUCCCCUAAGAAACUUGUUCAUUCCCUUUCCAGAUUCUUUCUGCUUGUUCUUGGUCUACAAACAAUCAUAAUAACACGAGAAUCAAUAAACGAUGUCUAAUUAUCCGGAUUAAAGUCAACACUAUCAACCCUAGAUCAAACCAAUGAUCCCAAUAUCCAAAAUUAGGGCUUUUCCCACCAUCCAAACAGAUCCAAAACCCUUCCCCAACAAUAAUUACCCACGAAACUAAGUUCUACGGAUCGAAAAAUGGAUUCGAGGAGUGAAAACCUUACCUUUAGCCUCAAGAAUGGUGAAAAACGGUCAAGAACUCGCUUGGGGUCGUCUCCUAGCUCUCAAAGUCAAAAGUGCAGAACAAAACAUUUUUGUGGUUUAUUUCCGACUUAAAUCGUGAUUGUCCCGCCACAUCGGUCCUCACCCCGCUACAGCGGGUCCGCCUUGGUGGCACAAAAUCCCGCCAUAGCGGCUUGCACGGAACAUAGGGCUAAAUAAAGAAUUUCCAAACCCCCAUUUCACAACACACCUUCAUCCCAUGUCACUCAGAAACUACCCUCUCAUGCUAAGAUCGAUUUCAGGAGUUCUAUUCGCCUGAAUUCAAUUCCUUAAAGUCGUACGGGUUCCUUAACGUCUUAGCUAUCUAUUCAUAUGAUCGAAGCCAUAAUUAGAUCUCCCAAUUGUUACCAGAUUUCUCUAGACCUCACUGACUCCGAUUUCGUUCAAAUCUGGACUAGGUUGGAAAAUUUCAAAAAAUUUCCCCGAUGGUUUUUCUAUAACGACGAAAGCCGAUCGUUACACAUGCCUAUUCUAAUGUUCUCCAUGAAGAAUCACAAAGGGAGGUACAUGCUCAACAUACUCUUGGUAUUGAAUCUUUUUCUUUUUGCAAUACUGAACAAUGUUCAAUGAAUCUAGUCAAACAAGAAAAUACAGGAAUGUUUCUCAAAACAUUAAGACUACUGCUAGGAAAUUCGAGCAAUUUUGUAAGUAUUGCAAAAAACCAGGUCAUGUUAAGGAAGAAUGCUAUAAAUUGGUGGGCUAUCCUGCUUAUUAUAAGUUUAUAAGAUUAGGAAGCUAAUCUAUCAACAGUGCUAUUGGAGAGUAGGAUAACACUAUAGGGCUUGAUGCUCAUGCAGUUUUUAUUCUCAAUUCUGGACAAGAUUUCUCUGAGACACAGUGUGACCAAUUGAUUCAAAUGUUCCAACCUGUUCAAGAAGGAAUUGGGGCAUCAACUCCUAAUGUCACUGCCAGUGCAAAUCUGGCCAGUAUGCAGUACUCUUAUAUUAUUUUUACCUCUUUUUAUUCUAAGAACCGUUUUUGUAGCCGUGUUAAUGGAAUUCAUAAUCUCUCUAUAUAUACAUAAAAUAUUAAGGACGUUCGAGUGAACACCCUAGUGACCCUCCCUACGCCCUAGAUCCACCCUGCUCCUGCGACACUCAUAAUUUUUUUAAUACAACGAAAGUCAAAACUAUCCAAAUGCUUUCUGUUAGCAUGAACAUGUUUUUUUUUUUCUACAAAAGAUUGUGAAAAGUAAUAUAUCAUCUAUCCUUUAAACUCCAAUACACCAUAAAUUGGGAAGGAGGGAAUGAUAAACUCCAAAGCUAGUUUUAAAUGUACUCCUUCCGUCUAAUAAACACCUAAAAAUAAACAAAACUAACAACUUCAAGAAGUACUAAUACCUCUAACCUCAUAAUAAAAAUGAGUUGGUAGUCUUCAAGAAAACUAUGUAAGAGGUAUAAUUAAUUGAUUUUGUCUUGAUUUUGAAAUGAAUAUGAAGUAUAAAUAUAUUUAUAUAAACGAUGUCACAUUGUCUUUCUAAAUUUUUGUCCGUCAAUACUCUAGCCAAUGCGUGAGAACCACAAAUAAUACUUUUUUUAAAUAUGGUCCCUUGGCUUGAAUUAUUAUACAAAACAAAAUUAAACAAUAAGUCAAGACCCAUCAAACACCAAUAAAGUGAUAUAAGUUAUUAACCAAUAAAUAUUGGGGCCAACAACCCUAAUGAGUGUCCAAACUCCCCAUGUUUUAAAUGUCCAAUGCUUGUUGGAAAGUGAAUGGUGUGAAACUUGAUGGCCCCUCCUCCCUUAAAAGUUGGGGUCCAAUGCUUGUUGGAAACUGAAUGAUGUGAAACUUGAUGUUGGGAAUGAGAUUUCCAUAAAGAAGUAGUAUUUGAUCCAUACAUAAUUGUGUUUGACUAAUUUGUGUAAACUCAUAAAAAAUUAUAAGUAGUAAUAAUGUACGUUUACUAUUAAAAUACUUUUAUAAGGAAAAAUUAUUUAAAUAUUUAUUAGAGAUAAAUAUAAAAAACACACCUAAGCUAUCUCUUUUUUUGAGUUUCAUACCUAAACUAUUGGGAGUAUGAGUUUCAUACCUAAACUAUCACUUUUUAAUUUGAGAAACACACCUCAGUGUGGUGUGUGUAAUACACUCUCUCUAUUAUUUGCAAGAACCUUGACACAUGACAUUUCACACAGAUAAAAUAUUUCAUCUUGACAAAAAAUAAAUAAUAAACUAUUAUUAUUAAUUAAAAAUUAAAUAUUAAAGUAUUAUUAUCCCAAAAAAAAUUAUAAAGUAAUUUUUUUUUUAAAAUUAAAUUAUUUUCUUACCACACCCCCCACCCCCCGCGUCCCGCGCAGACAAUCCCCUGCCCUUUAUUUUUUUUUAAUUUCUUUUAUAAAAUAUUUUUUAAAAAAUCAUACUUCACCCACCACCACCCACUCAUUCCCCCCCAAAAAAUAAAAUUCUACCCAUCUUAUCUAAUUCUCCGCUCCUAAUUUUUAAUUUUUAUUUUUACAUUUUUCUCGUUAGAUAUGUACAUAUAUUUUUAGGAAUUUUUUUUCUACUGGUGUACAAGAUAUAACAUAACAUAAAUAAAAAAUUUAUUUUUUAAGAAAAAUCUUUCGGCAAAUAAAAAAAAUACUUUCCUAAAAAUGUAUGUAUAUAUCUAACACAAAACGAGAAAAAAAUUGAAAAUGGAGGGAUAGAUGAAGUGGGGUAGAAUUUUUUCUAAAAAGAAAAUAAAAUAAUAUAUAUAUAUAAUUAUUUGAAGGGGGAGGGGGGAUGAAGAAAAAAAAAUUAAAUACUUUUAUAAAAGAAAUUUAAACAAAAAAAAAACUAGAAAAUGGGGGAGGGGGGUUACGGGGUGAAGAGGAAAUGAUGGAGUUGGUAAGAAAAAUAUUUUACAUUUUAUUUUUGGGGAUAAUUAUUCUUUAAUCUUUAAUUUUAACUAAUACUAAUAAUUUAUUUAGUUUUUGCCAAUGUGAAAUCUUUUAUUCAGGAGUGUGAUGUGACAAUUUUUUUUAAAAUAAAAGAGAGAGUGUAGUACACACAUCAUGAAGAGAAUGUAAUAAAGAGAGAAGUGUGUUUCUCAAAUUAAAAAGUGAUAGUUUAAGUGUGAAACUAACACUCUCAAUUGUUUAGGUAUGAAACUAAAAAAUGAUAAUUUAGAUGUGUUUUUGACACUUAUCUCUAUUAUUAUGAUAGUUCUCAACUUCUUGUACUUGGCUAUUGCUUGAAUUUAAUUGGGUAAUUUACAUAACUAAUAUAUUAUAUAACAUUAUUCACGAAUGUAUCCUGCUAUGUAUCCCGCUAUGUAUCCCGCUAUGUGGAAUGUAUCAAACGCUAUGUAUCCCAUGCACAACACUAUGUAUCCCGCAUGUAUCCCGUGCACAACGUUAUGUAUCCCGCUAUGUGGAAUGUAUCAAACCUAAUGUAUCUCGUGCACAACGCUAUGUAACCCGCAAAUAUAAUUUUUAAGGGAUUUUUGAUAAAUAGAAAACUAGAAGGGAUAGGAUGUUAUUUAGUACUUAUAAUAUGUGGUUCCUAUAAUUUAUAUUUUUUUUUAUCACAAAUAGCAUCAACCUACCAGUCCGCAAGUGCGCAUAUCUUAGCAGUCCGCAUUAUCUUAACACAAGCCCAAUGUAUUUAUUUGAAUAUUCAAAAUGUAUUACAUAAUACAUUAAAAAUAAUAUUAACAGAUCUUUAAAAUAAUUUGCCAAUUCAUUUUAGAAAUAUAGCAAGACAUUUUUAACAUAUCUUAAAAAUAAUAAUUCUAAUUAUAUUAAAAUAAUAUUUGAAAAUUGGAUAUAAUACAACAUCACUAAUAAGAGAAAAAAAUAUACACAAUUGUAAUACAUUUUGAAUCCAAUAUUUUCCUAUAUAUAGGAUAUUAUAGACACAUUUCAAUACACGUGGUGAUUAUAUAACUAAAACAUUUUUAAUACAAACAUUUUGAUACUACUUAAAUUAGUGUACAUUUUAAAAAUGUAUUAUAUUUGUUCUGGAAUAAUAACUAUCGAAUUUAUAGUAAUGUAUAAUAUCGAAUUCGAAUUGUAUUAUAGCUAUUGCUUAUAUUUAUACAAUUUUAAUACAAUUUUAAUAAAGAUUUUUCAGAGCUUCACCUCUUCUUUUCGGUAAAUCACUACCACCAAACCAUCGAUUGGUCAUAUUUGAUACAGUUUUGAUACAACUUUAAUACAAUUUUUCUGAACUUCACCUAAUAUAUAACUAAAAUAUUUUAAAUACAAAUAUAUUAUAAGUAUUAUAAGUGAAUUUUAAAAUGAUAUUAAAUCAGGUAUGUGUUAAAAAGGUUUGUGCAUUAGAACUUAGGUCUUAUGAAUAUGUUGCAUUAAAAAUGUAUUAAAUCAGCUAUGUGUUAAAAAGGUUUGUGCGUAGAAUUUUGUGUUAAGCCACAAGAUGAAUGAAAAAUGCAUUAGGGAUAUUUGUAGUAUUAAAUCAGCUAUGUGUUAAAAAAGUUUGUGCAUUAAAACUUAGGUCUUAUGGAUAUUUUUUUAAUAAAAAGGUAUUAAAUCAGCUAUGUGUUAAAAAAUUUUGUGCAUCAGAACUUAGGUCUUAUGAAUAUUUUGUAUUAAAAAGGUAUUAAAUCGGCUAUAUGUUAAAAAAGGUUUGUGCAUUAGAACUUAGGUCUUAUGAAUAUUUUGUAUAGUGUAUUAAAUUAGCUAUGUGUUAAAAAGGUUUGUGCAUAGAAUUUGGGUAUUAAGGACAAUUUCUGCUUUUUGAGUUAAGGGACAAAUAUAUUAAAUCUGUAUUAUAGACAUUUUGUGUUAAAAUGGUAUUAAAUCGGUUGUGUUAAAAAAGUUUGUGCGAAGAAUUUUGUGUAAAGGCACAUGAUGAAUGAAACAUGUAUUAUAGAUAAUUUUGUAUUAAAAGGUAUUAAUUAAAUCAGGUUAUUAAGAAGGUAUUAAAUCAGGUAUGUAUUAAAAAGGUUUGCGCAUCAGAACUUAGGUCUCGUGCAUAUGUUGUAUUAAAAAGGUAUUAAAUCAACUAUGUGUGCAUAUAAUUUUGUGUUAAGGGACAAGAUGAAAAAUGUAUUAUGAAUAUUUUGUAUUAAAACAUUUUUAAUACAAACAUAUUAUCUGUGAAUUUCAAACAUUUCGGUACUAUUUAAAUUAGUUUACAUUGUUAGAAAUGUAUUAUAUUUGUUCUGUAUUAAUAACUAUCAAAUUUAUAGUAAUGUAUAAUUUCGAAUUCCAAUUGUAUUAUAACUAUCAUUUAUACUUAUACAAUUUUAAUACAACUUUUAUACAUAUUUUCAAAGCUUCGGCUCUUCUUUUUCGAUAAAUCACCACCAUCGAACCAUCGUCGCAGACUACCACUAUUAACUUACGUAGUUAGAAAUAUAUUAUAUUUGUUGAAAUAAUAAUAAUAAUAAUCGAAUUAAUAACAAUAUAUAAUAUUGAAUAUUAAUUGUAUUACAACUAUCGUUUAUAUUUAAUACAAUUAAUGUAAUACAACUUUUCAAUGGUACCCCUUUUCUUCUCCAGUGAAUGCCCAUUGUCUCCUUGGCUUCAUUGAAGAUAAAUCAUUGCCAAAAAUAAUUUUUUCGGCUAGAUCUAAAUGUCAAUGAAAUUUUAACAUGCAUGGAAAAUAACAUAAAAGAUGAUAUGAGAGAAAAAGGGGAAUAGGGACUGCCAUUACUGAUUUUCAUGGAGCUCAUAAUUUUUUAUUGGAGUUUGAUGAAUUUCCUAUCUGAUUUUUUGGUUGUUUGUUGUUGGGUCUACUUGGUGGUGUUGUGAAGGUGAGAAGUAGAGAGCAGUGACAUUUUAGCUAUUAAAGAAGGUAAUUAUGCUACGGACAGUAAUAAAAAAAUAAGUACACUAAAAAGGUAAUAAUUAACUUAAAAGAUCUUUUAUGUAAAAAAAAAUCAAAUUUAAUUUGUAAGAGAAAGCUCAUGCAACUCUAUAGUGCCAGACGGAAUCAUCAGAAUUGUAAUAUGAGAUUGUUUAUCUAAAGUUUUGACCGAUGUCAACUAUUUAAAUUUUAAAAGCUCCAAAACAAGUAAACUUGCAUAAAAAUCAAACGUACGAUUAGGUGAUCGAACUGUCAGUCUCAGCAAGUCAUAAAUGACUUGAGAUUGCUAUAGAAAAGCUCUAAACGUCGAAAAUGCACUAUAAGAAAAAAAUGAACUAGCGGAUCAUGAUUACACCACAAUUUUCAAUUAUUAUUUAUUAGCAAAAAGAAUUGAAAAUGUUAGCAUAUGUAGAGCCUGUUUGGCAUUGCUACUAAAAAAAUACUUAUUUUCAAAAGCACAUUUUAAAAAUCGUUUUUCUGAAAAGUAUUUUCGGAAAAAAAUAAUAAUUUUUUGUUUGGCUAAUUCAUUUGAAAAGUAUUUUUUAUAAGCAAAUUGUGUUUGACUAAUCUUUUAAAAGUCAAAUUACGAUAAAAGGCAAGUAUUAAUGUACUUUUAAUAUUAAGAUUAUUUUAUAGGAAGAAACUAGUUUAAACAUCCAUUACAAAAAAAUAAAUAAAUUUUUUAUUUUUAUUAAAUUAAAAUAUUCAUAUUCAAAUUUUCAAUAAAUAUUAUACAUUUUUUGGAGGGUUGAAAUUUUUUUUUUCUUUUUUGCUUAUCUUGCAAAAAUAUUGUUGUUACUUGUUUUUCUAACUCUAAAAAAUAAUACGUAAAAUAAUUAAAAAUAAUAAUAAUACAUAAAUGUAAAAUAAAAUAUAAAAUUUAUUAUAUUAAAAUAAAAAUAAAAAAUAAAAUUAUCAAAUGAAACUUACGCAAACAUAUGAGAUAUGUUAAUUAAUUAAUAAGAUAUAUAUAUAUAUAUAUAUAUAUAUAUAUAUGGGCAAACUACAUAAAUCCCACUAGUUUAUAUCCUAAUUACUAAGAUUCCUGAUAGUUUCAAAUAUUACUUCUUCUACCAUAUUUCAUGCUUAGGAUACAUGAGUUUGAAUCCGUGAGAUACAUGUAUCUGCCGAAUUUUAAAAUCGAGAUAGUAUUUUAUUUGUUUAAAUUAAUUGGUUGUAACUGAUUUCCUUAAUUAGAUGAGUUAUUGAGGAUUUUCAGAAUACAUGGACAGUUAAUUUUAGAAAUUUAAAUUAAUCAAAUCCCUUAAUAUAAGGCGGAAAUCAAGAAGUUUAAUUAAUUUUAUUUAAUUAUUCUUUGAAAUAAUAAAUUCAUUAAUAUUAUCAAUAAAAGACAAAAACAUGUAUAUCUUGGUCAUUUAAUUUGAUUAAUUUCUAUUUUAUUACUCUUAAAAUAAUAAAUUCAAUCAUUUGAUGUAUCUAUUAUCAAUAUAUAAUGUAUCCAACAAACGAAACAUUUAGAUACAUGAGUAUCAUACAAGUACAUUCAUAUGUAUCAUAGAAGUAUCUAGUAUUAAUUUCGUGUAUUUAUUAUAUGUGUACUAAGUAUUUUAGUUUCAUGUAUCUAUUUAUAUGACCUAAUAUUAAUUUUAUGUAUCUAUUUAUAUGAUCUAAUUUUAAUUUCAUGUAUCUUCUAUAUGUAUCUAGUAUUAAUUUGAUGUAUCAAGUAUCAAUUUCAUACAUUAUAUUCAAAAACGUGUAUUUCGGAUACAUAGUAAGCGUAUAUAUAUAAUUAUGUAUAUCUAACUAUGGAAUGUAAUUGAAAUGCACGAAUGUAGGAAUAAAUCACGAGUGUAGAGUAUUUGUCUUAUCAUUUAUACCAAAAAAAAGUAAAAAAUUUCAAAAUUCUUCCCUUUUUUAGCAUCUGAAAUUUUUUCUCAUAGAUACAUAUAAUUUUAACUUAGAUACAUGAAGUCUUAACUAAAUAUUUAUACACCUGAUAUGUAUUCAACAUUGUUGGACUUGAAUGUGUAUCUAAUGAUGUAUUUGUUCUGUUAAUUAAAGCUUUGCGUAAUUCUUCCAUCUUGACUGGGUCGUUCCUAUAUUUAAUCUAUUCUCGGCUUGAAUCUUGGCGGAUGAAGAGUCAGUCCCUGCAAUGAGAAAUUCAUGAGUGAAAAUAAACAAAUAAAAGUUGUUUAAUUUAGUAUAAUAUUGUUAAUGCGUAGUACCUUUAACAAGAAUCAUCCGAUUUCGAGAAUGGUUACCUACUAAAGUGUUUGAGAAACAACAAAAUUAAAAAAUAUAAAACCUAGUUGUAAAAGUUUUUAAAAUUGAACUUCAGAACAUUAUGAACUUUAACUCAAAUACAAAACUAAGAUAAAUGAGAAUAAUAAAACAAUAGAAACAAACAUAUAUGUAUUAUGCUGAUUUCAAUAUGCAAAUAUGCUUUGAUAAUCAAACAAUAAAAUAGAAAAUUGAUAAUUAAAAAUAAUAAAAAAGUAGUGUCAUACUCCAAAACAACAUCUGACUAUUAAUUUCAAAAUAGAUAAUUGUAAGUAACAAAAAUAUAGUGUUAUACUCUAAAACAACAUCUCACUAUUGAUUUCUUUUGAAGCAUUCAAUAAAAUGUUAAAUCCAAAAUUUAAUUUUUUUAAAAGUUAGGGUUCUAAUUUUUACCACCGACUUCAUUGCUACUGCUUGUUGUCAAAGAGCAGACCUCUGACCAGGUAAGAACUAUUUAUUCCUCAGUUCCUUCUCAGCUCUCCCUUUUUUUCUUUUUUCUUUUUUUAAUUUGUCUUUACAUUAUAUAACAAUUUAUUCAAAGAUCUUAUUUUUAAUCUUUGAUUUUAGGACUGUUCUACGUAUUAAUAAUUUAUUAUAUUAAUUAAAUUAUUGUUUGCUUCUCGGAACUUCAACUUUCAAGGCAAGAGUGGCUCAAUGGUGAAGCAAGUAAAACCUUCCCUUUAGGUCCAAAAAUAUUAAUGGUGAAUUUUAAUAAUUUUUAAUUUUUACUUAAAAUAAUAUUUGAGAUUAUAGAAAAAAAUGUUCAAAAAUUAUACUAAAAUAUUACACUUAUCUACCUUUUACCAAAUAUAUUUUAGAACUUUGAAAUAAAUAACUCAAAUCUUCAUAUGAAUAAAUGAAAUAUUUGAAAGUGUACCAAAUGAUGCAUCAUUUCUGUUUUCAAAACAUAGCUUGUCGAGUGCAAUUGAAUGAUAUGCUUAUAUGUUUGUGGUUAUAUAUAUAUAUAUAUAUAUAUAUUUGUUUGUAAUUUAAGGAUUGUUAUAUUAGACGACCAAUAUGUUGUUCUGUUUUAAAAUUUAGAACCCACAAACAUCAAAUCCUGGCUCCGCCUCUGGUUGGUGGAUGUUUGGGAGGGGGAGAUUUGACUUGUUAAUGAACCAUUAAUUAAGGAGUUUAAAUUUAAGAUAAUUAUUCAAUAUCAUAUUUAAGGAAUUUGUGUAUCUAAUUUAAUCUUUUAAAAUAUAUUGUAUAAAUAUUAAAAGUGAUAGUAUAUGUAAUUGUUUUAAACUAGAGGUAAAUAUAGUAUAUAUGGUGGUGAUGUAUGUGUAGUUAAAUAGUUUUUCCUAUAUAUAUAUAGCAUAGCCACUAGCCCACUACGAUUUUUCAUGCUCAUAUUUAUGUAUACUAAUUUGGAUAAAAUAAAUGUAUAUUUAAUAAAUACGCACUGUAUAGUGCAUGUACACACAAUUUUCUUACACAUAUUUAGAGAAGAUAGAUAUUUUUUCAUUUAAGUGAAAGAGGAAGACACCAUGAAAAAGAAAUGAUCUGAGCAAAAUUGUUGGUGUUCACUACAAUGGAUGACAAGAAAAAUAGGAGGGAGUGUGUGGCGGUUGUCACCGGUGGACAAAGCUAAUAUGGAUUGACCCAAUCCAUCAAGAUCAAGCUCACAUGGACUUUGGAAUUUGAUGGACCCACCCUGGCUUUCGCGGGUCAAUUGGCUUGAUUUGAUUGGGCAAAAGAGUCUCAUUCAUAGAUGAGUUGUAAGAGUUUACAUCAAACAUUAUCAGAUCAUGCGUUAGGUGGGACUAUCCCAAUGCGCAAAGUCUAUUAUGACGGCUCUAUCGGCAAGUGGAAGAAGUGAAAAGAGACUACUUGACUUAAAAAAAUAGUUUUUACGGAAUAUAUCUUAUUAACUCUUUCGUAUUAAUCGAUUUUUAAUUGUUGCAAACAUUAAAACCUUCCUUAGAUUUGACUUGUUUGAGUAAAAAGUUUAAAAUAUGGGAAAAUAGGUAAUAAUGAGGAUUCGAUAGUCCGAGAAGAAUAAAAGGUUGUAGGAAAAAAAUUCAUAAUGAAGCUAGUAGGGCUUGAAUACACAAUUACAUGGAAAUUUCGCAACCCCCUAACCAAUAAACAAAACAUUCAACUUGUUUCAAGAGGUGUCAAUACUUGCAUGUAUAUUUAUUAGAGAUAAGUGUCAAAAACACAUCUAAACUAUCCUUUUAUUUUAGUUUCAUAUAUACCUAAACUAUUGAGAGUGUGAGUUGCAUGCCUAAACGAUCACUUAUUAGUUUGAGAAAUAUAUUUUUCUCUUUUAUAACACUCUCACCAUGGUGUGUGUAAUACAUUCUCUCUUUUAUUUUAAAAAAAUUGUCACAUCACACUCCACAUGCACAAAACAUUUCACCUUGACAAAAAUUAAAUAAAUUAUUAGUAUUAGUUAAAAUUAAAGAUUAAAAAAUUAUUAUCCCAAAAUAAGUAUUUUUUUAUAAAAUAAAAUGUAAAAUAUUUUUCUUACUCCACUAUCACUUCUUCUCACCGUACACCCCCGCCUUCACCCCACCCCAUUUUUGUUGUUUAGAUUUCUUUUAUAAAAGUAUAUAAUUUUUUUACUUCAUCUCCCCUCUCCCCUACAAAUACUAAAUUAGAUAUUAUUUUAUUUUUUUAAAAAAAAAUUCUACCCACUCCACCUAACCUUCCACUUCCAAUUUUUUUCUCGUUUUGUGUUAGAUAUAUCGAAAAUAUUUUUUACUUGCCGCCACAAGACUUUUUUUAAAAUAAAUUUUUUAUUUAUGUUGUAUUCGGUACACAAGUAGAUAAAAAUCCUAAAAAUAUAUGUACAUAUCUAACACAAAAUGAGAAAAAUGUAAAACAUAAAUAAAUAAAUUUGGAGCGGAGGGUUAAAUAGGAUGAGAUAAAAAUUUUAUUUUUUAAAAUGAAAUAAUAUCAAUUUUUUUGGGGAGGGGGGGGGGGGAAUGGUGAAGUAUGAAUAUUUUUGGGACGAUUUUGACCUUUUUUAUUUAUUUAAAUUUUACAAACCAAGACUAGAUUGGUUGGAACAAAUUUAAACCUAGGCUUUGAUACCAAAUGAUAAGAAUCAAAGAGUCAAUUUAAAGAUAUAAGAAAACAUAUGUGGAAUUAUCGAAAUCUAAUCGAAUUUAUGAGCAACAAAUGACUUUAUACUUUCACCUCUCAAUUGAAUCCGAUCAAACAACAAUAACCUGAACUCAAUCAAAAACGAGAAAACCAAAUUGAAUCUGCAAACAAGGUAAAUAAUCGAUUAAGGUAGAAGAAGUUAACACAAACAAUAACGGAAAUUCACCCUAAUCACUCAACUACAAUUACCAACUAUGAACUACACUAAUGCUAGGCUACACCUAGAAACUACAAGUUUCAAGCUUUCAAAUAUUCAAUUCAUCAUAAUGUUCAUAAUCUAAGUCUUGCAGAAUGAUAAAACAACUAUUUAUAUUAAGGAAAUAAAGAAGACACUCCUUUGACAAUUUUAUCCUUAAUUAGAUAAGGGCUUUGUUUGGUUGUCUUCUUUUGUGAAUUCUUGGAUUUAAGAGAUGAUCACUUGCACAUAUAACAUUUUUCUCCAUCCUCUUAAUUUCGAUGGACCUUCAACACAUUAUGUCUUUAUUUGGUCUCCAUCAAACUCUUCUAAAGCCUUCAUAUGAUCUAUUCUAUCCAUGCCGUUAUCAUCGGCCUAACUCAACCCCAAAAGCUAGCUCAUGAGGGAGGAUUGUCCAAAUCCAUAUAAGGAGACCAUCAGUCCAAUCCCCAAUCAAUGUGAGACUUUUACCCACUCUAACACCACCCUCUUCAUGCCCAGGCCUGAUUGGAGCGUGGACCGGGAGCCCAAAUGAGAAAGGACCUGACUCUGAUACCAUGCCUGAUUUCUCUCUAUCAAACAUAGUAAAUUAUAUAUCCUACCAUUUAAAGAUAUAAUACAAUCAAUUUACUGUACAAUCAAUCUGGAAUGGUUUGUGCCUGUUGACUUGGAUGAGGUAGAGUAGUGGGAGAGGUGGUGGUUUCGGUGACGGCGGCAGAGGAGAUCUCGGAGAGGGUGGUGGCUUUGGUGGUGGUUUAAGUGGAGGUGUUGGUGGUGGAAACCAAAGUUGAUUUUUGUAAAAGAAAUGGGUUAUAUGAUUAAGUGGGUCGGAUGGGGUUAAAAUUGAAUAAUUUAAGUAAAAUUGAGUAAUUUUAAUUGAUUUGUGGCUUUCCAUCCAAUUGAGGGACACAAAUAAUGAAAUUAGUAAUGACAUAGAUAGGAAUAACAUCAUUUUAGCGGUAAAAGCAUUGUCAAUCAAUAAAAUAAAGUUGAGGGAUAUUUUUAACCCUUUUCCCUUUAAAAUAAGAAAAGGUUGACUCUUUCUUUCCACAUGCCCCUAGUAACGACAAGGAUAGGAAUAGCAUCAUUUUAGCGGUAAAAGCAUAGUCAACCAAUAAAAUAAAGUUGAGGGGGGUAUUUUUAACCCUUUUCCCUUUAAAAUAAGAAAAAGAUGACUCUUUCUUUCCACAUGCCCCUCCCAAUUUUCUCUCCAAGAUUCCUCUAUCAUUUUGUCCGCUACCACCUAUUUCCUACAUCUUCUUCUUCUUUGUUCCUUUCUUUACCUCUUAAACCAGAUCGAACUAAAAUAAUUUUAAAAAAAACAGCCAUUAACUAAUUUUUGGAGUGGGAUGAUGAAAUUUUACGUUGUCAAGUAAAUGAAUUUGUAUAUAAGCAUUACAUAAAAAAUGUCGUUCGUUAAUUAAUUGUCGCUAAAUAUGUAUUUUUAGCGGUAAUUACUAUUUUCUUAAAUGUCCCUAAAAUUUAUAGAGCCAUUGGAUUUUUUUUAUUUUUUUAAAAAAAUAAUUCAAAUUUGAUCAUUGAUGAGGGCAAAAAUUACAGCUUUGAGUUUGGCAUCCCAAACUUUUACAUGAUCAAAGUGUAGAGGUACUAUAAACAAGCUCUACUAAUACGUAACACCAAAAAAAUCCAAGUUAUUGUGGAGUUUAACUGGACAUGAGAUGUUGUGCUUAAGCUAUGGAGGCUCGUAGACCAGAUAAGAAGGCUUUACUGGUUUCAUUCUAAAAGAUGGGAACUCCCACCUAUCCAUGUUGAUAAGACCCCUAACAUGCUUAGGGAGAGAGGAGAAGGAGUUGAAGACAUGGAUCUCGACUGCACCAUGGCUAAGAGAUACAAGUUUGUCAGCAGGUUUAUUUGCUUCUCUAAAGCAAUGACUUAUGUGAUAUCCAUGAUCUUCAACUACUUUCAUAAUUUCUUGGAUCAUAUCUUUGAUUCUCAGGGGGUCUCCGUUCUUUAUUGGAGCAGUUUACCAGGAGCAAAGAAUUAGUUUCCUCCCAGACAUUUGUGAGACCUUUAUCCGCACACCAUUUAAGGCCAUAUAGUAAUGGUGCUGCUUCAGCCAUGUUGCUUGUGCCAGACCCUAGAUUGAUCGAGUAGGCAAAGAUAGUAUGACCAAUAGAGUCUUGAAUCAAUCUUCCUCCUCCGCAAGAACCUUGAAGGCAGCUAGCCAGCUACCAUCACUAUUGAGUUUAAAAGUCCUAGCAGGAGGUUUAAUCCAUUUAACGAGAUUGCUGAUAUGUUGGUGAAUAUUGGCAUAAAAAAUAUUGGAAAGACUUUGCCAUGUCUCCCCUAUAUUUGCUUUUCCAAACUUCCUCCUCGUGAUCUGCAAAAGAGUGAAUAAGAUAUUAACAUUAGUUCUGUAAGGCGAGGGUUUAACUUUCUCAAACUUGUUAGCACAUCUCGUCUUCCAAAUUAUACGAGGAGGUCUUGGAUAAUGAAGGACGCUAUGAGGUUGUUGGUAUGAGUGUUCCACCAGUUAAGUAAAAGAAGUUUUAGAGAAUUCUAGAUCAGUCUCACACCCAAAGAAUUCACAAUACUUCGCCAAAUAUUUUUUGCAAGGUUCCCUUUGCAGAAAAGAUGAUCGGCAGUUUCCCAUAUGUUGUUAUCAGGGAUAUUCACACAACAGUAGCAUCCAGGCUCAAUGUUGAUGCCUAGUUUUGCCACUUGAUCCUCUGUUGAGAGUCUAUUAUAAACAUCUCUCCAAGUAAGGAAAUACAUCUUAAAGGGGAUGGCACAAUUCCAAAUCUUACUAGUAGAAAUGUUGGAAGAUCUUUUAUUUUUUUAUAAUAUUCCAAGCUGAGUGAAGAGUGAAGAGGCCAUUAUUAGACUCCCUCCAAAUUGUUAUAUCAUCCACAUUGUUGUCUAGAGAAAUUCCCAAGCUCGUAAUCUUUUUUUUUACAUCUUCAGAAAGAUCUCCCUGAAUAGAGUUCCAAUUCCAGAAACUAUUGUUAUAAACUGUGUUAAGCUUGAUCAAAAUAUCUCCUUCAAUAUCGGGUUGAAUUAAAUAAAAGAGUUCCUAAGCUUGACCAAGUGUCAAACCAAGAAUCUAUCUCUCAUCUACCAAUUUUCCAGAAAAUGUGAUUUUUUGUAUCUGAUUUGGCUUCACACAUAGCUUUCCAGCCUUGUGAGUUGCUCGAGAUCCAUUUAGCUUUCACAGGGUGGUGGGUAUGCAAGUAUUUGGAUUUAAUGUAAUCUCCCCAAAGAGAUGUGGUGGUUCUUAAGUUCCACCACUGUUUUGACUUAAAGGCUCGACAGAUGUUCGAGAUUUUCCUAAAGUUAGCUCCACCUUCAUUGUAGGGGUAGCUCAAGGUAUCCCAAGCAAUCCAAUGAUGUUUACCAUAGGCUUCAUUUCCUAACCAGAAAAACCUAGCAAUGGUUUUCUCAAUAAGCUCAAGUGUGCCUUUUGGAGGGUUAAUAUCACUCAGGUUAUGAGUAGGGAUGGCCAUGAGAACAUGUCUAAUAAGAGUAGCUCUUCCACCGGUGGAAAGAAACUUUGUAUGCCAUCCUCUAACUUUGCUAGUCACUUUAUUGACAAUGUCAGAGUAAUACGCUAGUUUCUUUUUACCAGUGAUCAGAGGGCAUCCCAUUGGGGAAUUUUUGAAAUCUCAUGCCAGUGUAUCUUUUCGUUCUGUUAAUGACAGAGAGGCUGACUUUGGAUUUUAGGGAGAAGCUUCUUUUGUUCUUGUUGAUGAGCUGCCCCAAAAUCUUCUCAUACCUGCUAAAAGUGCCAAUAAUCAGUUGGAUAGAGUUUUUACUACUAUUACAAAAGAUAAUAGUGUCAUCUGCAAAGUUUAGAUGAUUAACCCUAGGAAAGUUAUUAUGAUCAUAGAAACCUUUGUAAUUAGGAAGGUUAUACAAGUUAUUAAGCAUCUGAGAAAGAAGUUCAGCACUCAGAAUGAAUAGGGAAGGGGACAAGGGGUCACCUUGUCUUAAGCCCCUAGAAGAGUGGAAAAAGCCAUGUCUACUACCAUUUAUAACCACGGAAUACCAAUUAUUAGAUAGGAAGUUAUAGGUGAUGUCCACCCAAUUUUCUGAGAAUCCUAAUUUCCUCAGAGCUAAGCAAAGGAAAGUCCAAGAAACUCUGUCAUAGGCUUUCAUCAUAUCAAGUUUCAUAACUACAUUGCCCCCUCUGUUAGUCUUACGAAUACCACUAAUGAUCUCUUGAGCCAAAAGAAUAUUUUCAGUGAUAGAUCUGCCUUUAACAAAACCACUUUGAUUUUUGGAGAUGAUUCUAGGGAGGAUAGAAGCCAACUUAUUGUUAAGGACCUUAGAGAUAAUUUUACUAGAAACAUUACAUAAGCUUAUAAGCCUCAAAUCUGAGAAGGAUUGAGGCUGAUCAACCUUAGGAAUAAGGACUAAAUAUGUGUGAGUGUAAAAUUUAGGAAGGAUGUCACCUGAAAAGAAAGCAGAGACAACUCUAUGGAGAUCUGUAACAAUGAUAUUCCAAGUGCUUUGGUAGAAGUGUCCACUUAGGCCAUCUGGUCCUGGGGAACUGUCAGGGUCUAUAGAGAAGACAGACUCUUUCAAUUCUAGCAUGGUAGGACGUGAAAUGAGUUUGUCAUUAUCCUCAUCUGUAAUGCACCUGCGGAGAAGGUUAAUAGGACCAAAAUAUGUAUUAGUUAAAUCAUGUGUGAAAAGCUUUUGGUAGUAUCUCACAGCCCCUUCAGUAAUGUUAUCAUUUCCUUCUAGCCAAUUAUCAUGAUCAUCCAUAAUUUUCUAAAUAUUGAGCUUUUUUUCUCAUGUCUUUUAUGAUAUUGUGGAAGUAAGCAGUGUUGGAGUCCCCUUUCACAAGCCAUUUGAUCCUCGCCUUCUGCCUGAGAAUAGAGACUUGAAGUCUGAGGAACUUAAUGAAAAUAACUCUGAGUCUAGAUAGUUCUUCCCUAUUCUCUUCAGAGUUAUUAGUCACACUAUUCUCUUUCAAAAUUCUCAUUUGAGGUUCAAGUUUUUUGGGCUCUUCAUAGAUAUCACCAAAAGCUUGUAAAUAUAAUUAACUAAUGCCAGUAAAUAUAUUAACACUCUUUAUUAAUGUAUAUAUUUAUUACUGCUAAAAAUAUUUUUGUGUAGAUAAAGUCACUUCUUAUCAAUAUUGCAAAACAAACUAGUCUAAGCAAGUGUUGACUUUGUUUGUCUAGUUUAAAGAGCUUCAACCUUCAAGUAUUAUUCUUCAACAAGUGGCAACACAUAUAUAGCCGCAUAUAAGUUACUUCCUCUGUCCUUUUUUCUAUGUCACAUUUUUACUUUGCGCUUGCAUUAAGAAAUGAUGUAAUUUUAUCCUUCUACCCUUAUUUAAUGUUUUCUUAAGUCAACUUUAUUAAUAAAUAAUAAGAUUAAUUAACUACUCUAUCAAGGGUAUAAUAGGCAAAAUAUGGUAAUUUAUGCAUAAAUUUUAUAAAAUGACCAAUAUUGUGGUCCAGCUAUUUAUAGAAAGGGAUAACAUAUAAAAAGGGACAGAUGGAGUACUUAAAAGUCAACAUGAACUAAUUGCAGGUAGGAAUUUAGGGAGGAAAAUAGGGCGGUGUGGGGUGGGGUCGGGUCAGGUUGAGCUUAAUCCGUAAAAUUCUUAAUCCGUUCUGUCUUGCUCCGCAUAAUAACUUUUUUCAUUUUCAACCCAUAUCUCACCCCGCCCCGCAUAAUUUUUUUUAAUAUAUUAUUUUUAGUGAAUUUGAUACUAAAAAUAAAAUUCAUAAAACUAAAUUCAUUUUUUCAUUAAGUUAUAUUAAUUUAAUAGAAUAAUGACUUAAAAAUUAUUUUUUAGAGGUCAAUUGGAAACAUGUAAGAAAUUGCAUUUUAUUUUUUAUUGAACCAUUUUCAUUUACUAUCUCGAAUAUGUUAGUAGCUUUAAAGAAAUUAUCUUAAUAAAUAUGCUCUAUCACUCUAAUUAUAACAUGUAAAAAGUUGAAAUUAAAUUUGAACUCAAUCACAUUUAUCUGCAACCCGCCUCACAUUAGUUUUAAAAAAAAUUGCUUUAACCCACCCCGCACAGCCUUAAACCCUCUCCACCCUGCAUAGCCUUAAACCCAUCCCGCCCCGCCCCAUUGCCAUUCUAUAUAGGAUAUUUAGCCGAGAAAACUAGCAUGUUUAUAGUGGGAUUCAAACCCAUAACUCUAGCAUGAAAAGCUUUUUCAUGACCACUUCCUCACCAUUAAGCUGUCACUCAAUUUUGUUAGGACUUCACGAAUUAAUAUACAUAUAUAUUUAUUUAAUUUUCUAGUACAAAUACAUAAUCUAUGAAAAACUACUGGAUUCGUCCCAACCCACAAAUCUCACCUAACUCUACCCGUACAAAAACUUUCCUACUAGAACAAUUAGUGCAAGUGUAUAUGUCGAGCUGAUCAGUUUAAUUUGGGUAUACUAAAAUUCUAACUCAAUUUUGUGCAGUAGCGGUAGAAUUAAUAAGUAAUCGAUUUAAACUUUUUGACAAGAAUACUCAAAAUAUCUACAUACCUUUGCUUGAUAUAUAUUUGCUCUACUUGGCAAUGAGAUGGCAUAAUUUGAAUUUAGCAUUUUAGCUCGGAAAAAUCAUGCAAGUUCUUGAUAUAUUUGCUUUGAGAAAAAAUAACAUUUUUUAUACAACAAGUUUUACAGGUGGAAAAUGGGUUAGAUUUUUGUGUGAAGAAAGAUGAAUUUUUUAAGGUUUUCUCUUAUAUUGAUUUGAAUCAAGGGGCAAGAAAAGAAAAGGUAUCAAGGUAUUUUUGGAGAAGAAGGAAAAAGAGGAGGCAAGAAAAAGAAGAGGAGAAAAUUUCUGAAAUAGCAAAUAUAAUAGACAUAAUAAGGUUCUAUAGCUAUAAUUUUGAUAAUUGCGUUUCAUAGCUAUAGUUUUGUUUGCUAUGUAGACUGUGGUUUGUAUAUUUCUGUCUGUUUGUAUAUUUCGCUUGCGAAUAUACAAAUAGGGUAAUUUAUUAGGAACUUUUCAUAAAUCGUAUGCAAAUAACUAGAGUAAAACAUAUACAAAAUUCUAGAUUUAUACAAUAAAAUUAUAGAUUUAUACAAAAUCAGGCUAAUUAUACAAAUCAAGUGAAUACCAAGAAUUGGGGAAACUUUAGCUGCGAACUACAAUUUUCUUAAACUGUAGCUAGAGUACCUAAUAUAGGUUAAAUAUGCUAUUUUGCGUAAUUUUCCCAAAGAAGAAGGCAAUCUUUUCUUAUUUUAAAACUUUUCUGAAUUCCUUUUUCUCACUUUUCUGUUAGCCGAGGGUAUUUUUGAGCCUAUUGGGUAACGGUGAGGGUAAUUUUGCACCCAAAAUCAAAUAGAGAGUAUAUUUGCUCAAUUUCUAAUAAUUUAAAGGUAUUUUUGAUCAUUUUUCUUAAAUAUAAAUAAUUUAAAAUAAAAUCAUUAAUAUGAGAAAAUAUAAAUGAGGAGCAAAAUGGAACUUUUUAAAAAUAAUUCUCUUCAAUUUUUAUAUUUACUUAUUUUGAACUAUGAAAAAAUGUUUAAUGAUUCACUUACUUUGAAAUAAAAGGAGUAUUUUGAACAUGAAAACAAAAUCCAAUAAUUCACUUAAUAUGAAAUAAAUGGAGUAAUUAAAAAGGAAUUCAACUUUAAUCUACACCGUUGAUUGACUAUGACAUCUAACGGUUCAAACUUCAAGCUCACGAUCCGCGUCAUCCAAAAGUAACCAAUGAACAGCUAGCCCUGACUCAUAUAUAAUAAAUCUCUUCAUCUCUUUCAUUUCACACAAUUUAAACUCAAAAGCCCUCCAUUUCUUACGGAUUUAUGAAAUUCCCUUCGAUGUCACCAAAGGCAGAGAAGAAACCGGUAGAGCUGCCGCCGGAGACAAGAAGAAGAAGAGGUCGAAGAAGUCAAUCGAGACCUACAAGAUCUAUAUCUUCAAGGUGUUGAAAUCAGAUAGACCAUCCCACUUAGAAUCUCCAAGAAUGUCAUCAAGAAACAUAAAUUGUAAUUAAUCAAGCAUAGACAUGUUUCUUGAAGAACACUUAUUCCACAAUUUUAGAAAAAUAGGAUUUCUUGGUUAAGAAGUUUAUGGAAGAGAAGAGUGUGAGUUGUAGAGACACACUAGGAUAAGGCUUUAAAUAGGCUUUUUAAGAAAAUGUUUGUUUAGUAGUAUUGAGGACAUGAAUAUAUCUUUUGGGACAAGUGGAAGGAACAGGUACAUGUGCAUUGAUUAUAUAUUUAAUUAUGAAUAAUUGUAGUGCACAUACCUUAGAUCUCUGGAAAAUGCUGAAUUUUUGUUGAUCACGACUAUGUCCUCGUCAUCCAUAUCAGAUUCAUCACUCUCAGUUGCCUUGAAAGAAAAAAAAUCAUAUAUUUGCUUCUUUUACUCAUUUUUGUGUUAUCAACAUUCCUCUCAUAAGUCUUUAGAUUUCCUACAAGUUCAUCCAAGCUCAUAGUUGUCAAAUCAUUUGCUUCUCUAAUUGCAGUGAUCUUGAUCUCCCACGACUUAGGUAGAGUCCUCAGCACUUUAUCCACAUGUUCCUCAGUAGUAUAUAUCUUUCCCAAAGACACCAGCUCAUUCACAAUAGUAGUGAAUCUAGUAAUCAUAUCUUGAAGUGAUUCACCACUCUCCAUCUUAAAUGCUUUAUAUUCUAGUCUAGCAAUUCUAAAUUUUCUUACUUGGGGAGUUCCUUCAUGUGCAUUAACUAGUGUGUCUCAAAUUUUUUUCGUUGUAGUACAACUAGAGAUGCGAUUGAACUCGGUAGGUCCAAGUCCACAUACAAGGAUGCACUUAGCUUUAGCAUUCUUUGUGAGCAUUCUAUAAUCAGCUUCUUCAUAUUGAGCCUUGGGCUUUGGAAUAACUUUCCCUUCAUCAUCCUUCAUCAUAGGAAUAGAGGACCAUCAGUAACUCUCAUCCAUAAUUCAUAGUCAUGAGCUUGUAUAAAAUCCUCAAUUCUCGCCUUUUACCAUGCGUAGUAAUGUCCAUUAAAUAGUGGUGGUAUGUUGAUGUGUUGACCUUCACUGUGUCCAAGAGGAGGUGCAGAAUUCAUAGUGAUCUUAUUUUGAGUUAUUAGACUAUACAAAAUAACCUGCUCUGAUACCAAUUGUUGGAAUUAUGACACACUUUAUUCUGUAAAGGAACACGUACUAACUACUUGUUAUUUACUGUUUGUGAGUUCUAGUAAAUUAUUUCGUAAAAUAAUAAUAAGUUCACAACUUUGUAUUAAUUAUUUAUCUCAACUCCAAACAACACAAAGAUUACACACCUAGGUAAUCUAAGGAAUUAUAAACUCUAAUUCCUAGCUAAGAAAUUAUAAACUAUAAUUCCUAGCUACCCAAGACAAAAAAACCCCAGGUUUAAGUCUUAUGCCGUCCGUCAAGUUUCUCAAACUUGUUAGACGAAUCCUACACACACACUUGAUUAUCAAAAUUCUUAACUACACUCUUACACCUUUUUCCUUACAAACUCGCAACACUCCCCAAGUAAAUCUCAAAACUCUCUCCAACUCUUGAUCGUGUUUUGAUCUUCUCUCUAUGUAAGUGUGCAAUUUUCUCCGAUGAAAAUAUUGCCCUAUUUAUAGAUUUGAAAUCCUCACAGUCUUCCUUCUUCAAGUUGAACUCGACUAUCUUCUUUAUUCUCCUUAUUUGACUUGAGCUUGAUUUCCUCAUCUGAUCAUGCUUCCUACUUCAUUCCAGAUUUGAAACCACAUUCACGUCAUUAUACUUCCUUCUUUGCUUAUGCUUCCUACUUCAUAAGGAUUUAUUUAUGAAAGGAAACCUUUUAACACUGGUUUCUUGUCGAAAAAGCAACUCUUUCACCGCUUUAUAACUUCUAAUUCGCGUGGUUGACGUUCUCCUUAUCCCAGUCGGAUUCGGUCUGAAAGGAACAUGUCGGCGCAACCGGCGAUUCCUUUCAUCUGUUCCUCUAUUUGUCAAUUAUCAAAAUCUUUCUCGAUCUAACACAGGUUCAUCCAGAUAUAGAGAUUUCAAGCAAGUCCAUGGGUAUCAUGAACAGCUUCAUCAACGAUAUCUUUGAGAAGCUUGCUCAGGAAUCUUCUAGGCUUGCUAGGUACAACAAAAAGCCCACCAUCACUUCUCGGGAGAUUCAGUCUGCUGUCCGAUUGGUCCUUCCCGGUGAAUUGGCUAAGCACGCCGUCUCUGAGGGUACCAAGGUGGUUACCAAAUUCACUAGCUCUUAGAUAUGUGUUAGUUUUGUAUUGAUUUUUCUGUUGGGUUUAUGAUUUCAGUUAGCGUUUUGGAGAUGUAAGGAACAGAAAAAUUGAAUCUAAAAUAGAUUUGAUGAACUUGAUGCUACUCUUGAUAAGUGAUAUAUGCUAUAAUUUUUACAUGCAAGGGUAUAAAAAAAAAGACAAAGCUGCUAAAAAGUUAUAAAUAGAGGAUUGUUUGCUCAACUGGAGAUGAUAGUUAUGAAAAGGAAAAACUAUGGUGAAAAAACAAAUGCUAAUUAAUAAGUAUUACAGAGAUAGUAAUAGUAUUAAUAAGGCUAAUACUACGACAACCUACCAUCAUGAACAAGAAAGUUAAAACUAUCCGGAAGCUAACAAAAUAUUUAUAAUUCGUUUGGUAUGGUUUAAAGGCUAUAUAUCCACAUAGCCAAAUUCCCAAUUUCAAUUAGGAACUUAGGAUUAUAAAUAAAUUAGGCAUUAAUUAAAAGUUUAGAAAUAGUUUGGUAUUGUGCCUACCUGGGUAAUAAUACUAACUAAUGCUGCAAAAUUCCGAGAAACAGUUCCGUUCGAGAGAAUGUUAUUGAACCCAAAUGUUAAAAGCCAUGCAAAAAAUUCUUUCUACGAAUGAAGGGAAAACAGGAAUCCGUAUUGAACCUGUAAACUGUGCUCCCUCCUGUAAGCAAGGGCGCGGGAAAAUGUGAAUUUGGAGCUUGAUGAAUUUCGGCAAAGAAACAGUGAAGAAAGUAUGUGAAAUUUCUUAUGGUUACAGCACAGAGGCUGUUAGAAAAAUGGACGAAUCAUUAGAGUUAAAGGUCUCGAAAAACUUGUUGAGUACAUGACGGAUGAUGAAACCCGUGCUGAGAUGGCUUAUUUCAGUGCAAAAUUUCUUUCUUCCAAUGUUAAAAUUCUGUUGCGACAACAAGUGACUAUUGAAUUAUUAGCUGUUAAAAAUGGUGGAUGUAACCAGUUAAAUUAAUAACAAAAUGGUCAUUCAGUUUUAGGGGUAUUUUUCGUAAUUCAACAUAUUUUCGUAUAUCGAGUCCUAUGUAUAAGAAUAUAAAUUUGAAAUAAUAAAGUAUCAAUUUAUGUGAAUGAUCACUACAAUUAAUGUGUUGUGUUUUUUCUUCUGAUUUAUUGGAGAUAUGUUAUUGACUCAUUUUUUGCACAAGUUGUUAUACUCAUUUGUCAAAUUAGCAUUAGAAGGUAGAAAUAGUCCAAAUGUUUGAAUGAUACAAGUUCAUUAAUAAAUUCCAACGUUUUGUAAAAGUUGUUAUAUUUUAUCCUUGCAGAUCGAUGUCUUUGAGUUAGACAGAACAAGUAUAAUUCCAAGUUUUCUAGUUUCAGUUAAAAGACAGUAGUGCAAGACAUAGCAGGACAGUACUACAAACUGAAGAGGAUUUGACGGAAGAACUACAAAGUGAACACUUUAUACUAGUCAUCUAUGUCAAAUAUCAAAGAAAUAUAUAUUAUCUGAAGGAAAUGGCAUUGUCAGAUUGAAAAAAAAAAUGCACGGCCAUUACAGUUUCUCUCAUUUCAUGUUCCCACACCUGCACGUAAUAGACAAGUAUUUUACCCUCAGUUAUGCGUAAUUGAGUCACGCAUGGCAGAACUAGGAGGCAGGGAAUUUCCAUUUA
rnacentral:lncRNA from 1 species